CAAAUUGAUUUCUUUUCAUUUAUUUUUUGAAAAUUUACUUUAAUUAUAUUUACCAUGAAAUCUGUAGUUUUUGGUAUAAAAGCAGCAAUCUUCUCAUAAUUCCAAAAUCCAUACAGAGCUGAAAAUUUUUCAAAAAAUUUGUGUGAAAUUCUAGAAUCAUCUUCUCUGUGAUUACUAGAAGAAGAAAAAUGGCGGAUCAGCUUACUGAUGACCAGAUCUCUGAGUUCAAAGAGGCUUUCAGCUUGUUCGACAAGGACGGAGAUGGUUUGGCGCCUUUUUUUUCUCUGUAAAUGUGUAUAUGUUUUGUGUUUUUGAUGCUUAUAGGUGUAUGUGGAAUCUGUUUUGUUGCAGAUCUGACGUUUGAUUUGAAAUUUGAAUGAACUAGUUGAUUUUUUUGGUGACAAGUUGAUAUAUGAGAAUAUUCAGUUAGUAAAUAGAGGAAAACAUAGAUUUUCUAGCUUGUUGAAACGUUAAAAAUGAAUUAGAGAAUAUGGAAGCUAUGUAGUUUGAUGUUACGUUGGUGAAUUACUGUUUUUUCGGUAUCAUGAGAUCUCAUGUUGAAAAACAAGUGAUUUUUAUUCGUUUUUGGUGAAUAGAGUUACUUGAUAUCCGCAUACAAGAUUUGGCCGGUUAGUUGAGUUGAGAACCAUGAAGUCUUGUAUUAAGAAGGUGCUUGGUUUAUAGAGCUACCUGAAGUGGUUGAGAGAACCGUGAGGCCUCAGGUUCAAAUCACAACAGAGACAAAAAUACAAUUGAUUUCCUUCCGUCUGUCUUAACCUUGGUGGAUAGAAUUACUUGGUACUUGUUGUUGGUGGUGGUGGGAGUUGAGAGGUAUCUUAUGGAAUUAGUCUAGGUGUGUGUAAGUUGGCUUGGAUAUGACGGUUAUAAAAAAAAAGGAGUUACUCCGUACUCGUGUUGGUGGGAGGUAGUGGAAUUAGUGGGACUUGUGUGUGUCGGAGGCCGUGGAAUUAGUAGAGGUGCGUGCAAGCUGAACCAAACCACGAUAAUGAAAAAACUUAAAAGAAGAAAUUAAGAGCUAUUUCAGAGAAGCUGUGUUGUAAAUUGGAUUAUACAUGUAUUGAGAAGUGAUAAUUUAAUUUGAUGAAAAAUUUGGCCUUUAUUACUGGCUUCAGUUUGUGUUAAAUGCUAACCAAAAUCCUCCCUUUUUUCUAAAUCUGUAGUAGCUUUUGUCUGAACUCAUUGAUUGGGACGAACAAUUAGAUGAAUGAUUUUUGUCAUUAGUUAUUAGGGAAGUUUUAAAAGAUAUAUAUUAAAUGUUGAUAACAGUGUUAGAAAUGUUGAAAAUUUGGUGCAUUUUUUUUUCGUCUUCCUUAUUUUCUGGGACAUGAGUUGAAAAGUAGUGCAUUUUCUGUUUUCUUCUGUGGACAGUUGCUUACUGAUGCUAGGGUCACAAAGUGUGGUUUGUUAGUUUUCGUGCAGUAAGCUAAUCGUGAAGCUUUGUAUAUAGGUUGCAUUCCGACUAAGGAGCUUGGGACUGUGAUGUGGUCGUUGGGACAGAACCCUACUGAAGCUGAGCUCCAGGACAUGAUAAACGAGGUGGAUGCAGAUGGUAAUGGAACUAUCGACUUCCUAGAGUUUCUAAACCUCAUGACCAGGAAGAUGAAGGAUACUUACUCUGAGGAGGAGUUCAAAGUGGCAUUCAGAAUUUUCGACAAGGAUCAAAAUGGCUUCAUCCCCGCUGCUGAGCUUCGUCAUGUGAUGACUAACCUUGGAGAGAAGCUCACUGAUGAACAAGUCUAUGAGAUGAUUAGGGAAGCAGAUGUUGAUGGUGAUGGACAAAUCAACUACGAGGAGUUUGUUAAGGUCGUGAUGGCCAUGUAAUUCCCACCAUCCACUUGUUAUAUUUAAAGUUUAGACUUAUCUUGUUAAAAAUGUGAAAAAAAGCCAAAAAUAAUUCAUUGGACAUGAUAAUGUUUUUUUUUUCUUUUCGAGAAGUUACACAUUUAGCCGAUUAGUCAAAGUUAUAUUCAUAUUCGCUAACUAGGGAAAAGUGGCAAAUAUACUCCCAAACUAUCGUAAAUGGUAUACAGAUACCCUCCGUUAGAGCUGUCAAUAUGGGCUAGCCCACCCCAUCCGGGCUAACCCAUACAGGCUUUGACAUUUUACGGGUCAGGCCAGGCUAGCCCAUUUUUGGUGUGGGCCAGAAAACAGUCGGCCCAACCCACAAUUACGUGGGCUACAGGCUUGCCGGGCCAGCCUACUUUUUUAAAAGUUAUAUAUUUUUUUAUAAUUAUUAAAUUAAAUUAAAUUAUAAAUUAUAAUUUAAAAAUAUUAUCAUAAAUAUCGACAAAACAAUAUUACAUGGUGUUAAUGUUACUACUUGUUAAUCAAAUCCACAAAUAAAAUUAUCUUUAUAAUAUUUAUUAAGUUUUUUUNNNNNNNNNNNNNNNNNNNNNNNNNNNNNNNNNNNNNNNNNNNNNNNNNNNNNNNNNNNNNNNNNNNNNNNNNNNNNNNNNNNNNNNNNNNNNNNNNNNNNNNNNNNNNNNNNNNNNNNNNNNNNNNNNNNNNNNNNNNNNNNNNNNNNNNNNNNNNNNNNNNNNNNNNNNNNNNNNNNNNNNNNNNNNNNNNNNNNNNNNNNNNNNNNNNNNNNNNNNNNNNNNNNNNNNNNNNNNNNNNNNNNNNNNNNGUUUGGACAUUUUCAUGGUGGAUGCAACUUCUAUACUUAGUGAUUUCCUAAAAAACUUUAAAUAGAUUUUGAGUUUGGAUCUCUCUAAUUUUAAAUUUUAAUAUUAUAAUAUAUUUUUUAAUUAAUUGUUAUUGGCCCACGGGCCGGCCCUACCUAUAUUUCUCAAGCCUCACAAAUCAGCAGACUUAUUCAGGCCGGGUUAAAAAGCCCUUUUUCUAAAUGGGCUCCAAAUUUUUUAGCCCAGCCCUAUUAAAUCCCGGGUUAGGCCAGUCCGGCCCAACAUGCCUAGACCAUAUUGACGGCUCUACCCUCUGUCAUACUUUUUGGACAUUGGUGCCCCUGUCGUCCAAAAAUUAGAGCACCCUUUCCACUAACAGACAUAUACGUGUCAUAAUUUUAUCCAUCGAUCCGGUAUUUAUUAAAUAUCAGAUGAACGGAUAAGAUUGUGUCACGUGUCCCUAUUUAGUCUUCCGUUAGAGUGAAGGGCAUAUAUGCUCUAGUUUUUAGACGACAGGAGUACCAAUGUCCCAAAAGUACGAUGAAGGGUGUCUACAUACCAUUUACGAUAGUUCAGGUAUAUAUUUAUCCUUUUUACCCGCUAACUUAUAUAUAUAUAUAUAUAUAUAUAUAUAUAUUAAUUAUGUGUAUUUUAUACAACUCUAGCUAGUUUUUGGGGAGGGUGGCUAUUUAUAGGGAUAGAAAUACCUAAUAGUUUUUGUUAUAUCAAACGUUACCCUUGCUUAUUAGUAAUCGAGGGAUUAUGAGGUAACCAUUUUUUCUUAAAUAAUUUAGAAUGUUAAAUCUAAACCACAUAAAUAUUCAACAAAAAAUAAAAUUGAAAAUUAAGAUGGUAACUGGUUAUUAUGAAUUAAUGUUAUUUGAUUGUGUAAAAAAAUUUACACAGUCGGUAGAUAUUAGUUAAACUCACUGAAAAUUAAGAUGGUAAAUGACUAUUACCUAUUAAUGUUACUCGAGCAUAUUAAAAAAAACUUAUAUCAUUAAUGAAUAUUAGUUAAACUAAUUAUAAAUUAUUGAAAUAACGUAUAUCUUGUAAUAUUUAAUUUUGGAUUUUAUGGACACUUGGAUGAAUCAGAUUUUUUUAAAGUUAAUUCCUAAUGAAAUGACAUUUACUAAGUUUACGUAAUUGUUUUGGCAAUGUAUGUCACAUCUGUUAAAUAAUUCUACACACGUCGAGAUUGAAAGUGAAACAACAAUUAAUCUACUAUAUUAAGGCUGAAAAAAUGAUUUAUAAGAGUUAAGAGCAAAGAUCUUUUUCACUACUUUUUGUGGAUUUCUCGAUACUCGAGAAUUCUUAAUCCUGUUUUCGAUAGAUUCACAAACUCAAGUAAAUUAUAUAAAAAGAAAAAGUAUGCAGUAAAAGAUUUGUCAUGCUCAAAAUAAUGAAGAAGAGCAUAAUAGCAAUAACAAAAUAAUAUACGAUAACUAAAGCAAAUUAAAUAACAAGUAAUACAAAAAUUAAAGAAUGAUACAAAAAUAAUAAUAAUGAUGAUGAAAAGAGAACUAGCGCUCGACCUACUAAUAACUACUCCACUUUUAUCAUAAAUUUUCGACCUCUAAAUCAUCUUAUCUACUUAUGUCCUCAGUAAGUCAUAUUAUAUCCAACCAUCUCUUCCUAAUAUUUUUCCACCUACUUCUACCUAUAUUUAUAAUCAUUAUAGUCAAUCUCCUCAUUGGACAACGAUCUAUACAUCUUCAGUUCACGUGUUUGAACCAUCUCAAGUAAAAAAAAAUAUAUCACAUUUUGUAAAUAACGUAUAAAAAUAUUCCAACGAGUCGCAUUAACAAAUUACUUAUCUUCAUAUUUUUUUAUAUAAAUAUAUUUUUUAUAUAAACAUUUGUGAUUCUUUAUUUUUACAAACUUUUAAAUAUACAUAAUUUUAAAAACUAUUAUCGUUCUAAUUAAAAAUAAUAAUCUAAAAGUUCAUCCAUAGUUUAGGUUAAGAGAAACAAAUUCUAAUUAUUCAUUGCUUGACGUGACAAUCUAGAAAUUAUACUAAUCCUUUAUUCUUUUCUUUUGGGAGUAUAUAUGCUCCUAACUUUUCUAUACAAUUAUUGUUUGCUAAUCCAAUUUAAUUAUUUUUCUUGGUCAAAUUAAAAAACAAAAACAAAAAGGGAUUCCACUACUAUAAAGGAAAGUUUAGGCAGGGAGAAUAUUUUUUAUUUUUUUUUCAAAUUCUACUUUCAUUUCAUUUUUACCUAGUCUUUACACUAAUUUUUUUUAAAAUUUUACUUAUCUAUUUUAACAAAUUAAAAAAAAAGUUACUUUUUCUUGUACUAGUUUCAAUCAAAUUUAGAAUUUCAAAAAAAUGAAUAAGAAUAUAUUUCUAAUUAACUUUUUUAAAAGGGUGUGUCAGGUCAUUUCAGACCAAAUGAUAUGAAACAAAGAAAGUAAAUAAAUAUCAAUAUGAAUUGCGGUGUAGAGUGUUUCAUCCUUAAUCAUAAAUUUCGAGUUUAAGUUUUGAAUACGGAGAAAUUUUUAUUAAAAACGACACACUUAAAUGGGUCUUGCAAUACACGAUUCAAAUUAGUCAGAACUCUAAUAUGUAGUUUGGAGAAAUCCUACGUGGCAGCCACAGUUUGCUUUAAGUCAAUGUAAGCAUUCCGCGUAUGGAACGCGUAACCGCGUACUCACCUAAUGGAAGAGAGAGAAAAAUGGGCCCUUUUUAUUCUUUUGUUUUUUUAUUUUAUUUUAUUUUUCUAAAAAAGAUAAAAAUUGACAAGUCAUUUUCUAUGGAAAAAAUAUGAAAAGAUCUAAAACACACGUGGAAUGCAAUGAGUGGUUUCAUAGAUGAUAUAUGGACCUAUUUUACCACCUUUCAUAUUACUCAAUAAGUUUUUUUUAGUAGUAUUAUUUAGUUAUCGCAUAGUUUUUUAUUCUUUAAUGAGUAUUUUUACUUGGUUGUAUUUAUUUUGUACCUUGCUACUUUAUCUUCCAAUCAUGUGUCGAUUACUCUCUUUUUGAAUGAAGGGUCUUUUGAAAAUAAUUUAUUUAUCUUACAAAGGUCUUUAAUCUAUACAUGUUUUGCUCUUUCCAAAUUCUACUUAUAAGACUAUAUUCAGUAUAUUACCAUUGUUGUCGUUGAUAUUAAUGUCUUUUUUGUUGUUUCCUUCUCGGUAUAUGCUAUGAUGCCUAACUAAUCUUGAUUAAAUCCAAUAAAACAUUCUUUGCUAAUGACGAUUCGAUUUUUAACAUUCGAAUUAUAAAAUUUUAAUUAAAACUGAAGGAGUACUUAGAAUUGCAGUGCAAUAUUUGAUGAUUCAUUUAAUGAUGAGAUAUCUAUUAUGAAGAGCUUAAAUCAAUUUGUAAGUAUGGACUUACGUGACUUUCACAACCUAAAUACUUUAUUUUAUAUUUUAGAAAAAAUGGUGGAUUAAUUUAGAAAAAUGGAAGACACAUUUGAUAUGAUAACUUGAUAAGCACAAAAGAGUAGAGAAUAUUGGAAUUAAUGAAAAAUAUCAGGUUGGUUAAAGAGAUGCUUAUAUACAUGUUAUAUAGAAUCGUAUAAUUUAUGUAUCUUAAAAUCAACGUAAAAUAUAAUCAAACUAUCUCAACGAUAUUCUUUCAUCUAUCUUCAAAUGAGAUCAUUAUAUCUUAUCUAAUGUUAUAUGUCGUAUAUAUACAUUAUAGUAUCUACAUUAUACGAUAGAUUUUAGCGGUCCAACAUUCAUUAUCUUGUAAUACUAUUGAUCUUAUUGAGGGGUAAAGAGGGAAAAACGGACACAUCCAAAUAGAUAAAUCAAUCACUAUCCGUAUAUAAUGUAAGGAGAGAGACAAAACUUUACAACUUUUGUUAUUUAUUCUUCUUUUUUAUUCAAAUUCAUUACUUUUCAUUUAUUUUUUGAAAAUUUACUUUAAUUAUAUUUACCAUGAAAUCUGUAGUUUUUGGUAUAAAAGCAGCAAUCUUCUCAUAAUUCCAAAAUCCAUACAGAGCUGAAAAUUUUUCAAAAAAUUUGUGUGAAAUUCUAGAAUCAUCUUCUCUGUGAUUACUAGAAGAAGAAAAAUGGCGGAUCAGCUUACUGAUGACCAGAUCUCUGAGUUCAAAGAGGCUUUCAGCUUGUUCGACAAGGACGGAGAUGGUUUGGCGUCCUUUUUUUUUUCUUUAAAUGUGUAUAUGUUUUGUGUUUUUGAUGCUUAUAGGUGUAUGUGGAAUCUGUUUUGUUGCAGAUCUGACGUUUGAUUUGAAAUUUUGAAUGAACUAGUUGAUUUUUUUGGUGACAGGUUGAUGUAUGAGAAUAUUCAGUUAGUAAAUAGAGGAAAAAAUAGAUUUUCUAGCUUGUUGAAACGUUAAAAAUGAAUUAGAGAAUAUGGAAGCUAUGUAGUUUGAUGUUACGUUGGUGAAUUACUGUUUUUUGCUUAUUAAUUAAGAGUUUUUUCGGUAUCAUGAGAUCUCAUGUUGAAAAACAAGUGAUUUUUUUUCGUUUUUGGUGAAUAGAGUUACCUGAUAACUGCAUCCAAAGAUUUGGCCGGUUAGUUGGGUUGAGAACCAUGAAGUCUCGUAUUAAGAAGGUGCUUUGGUUGAUAGAGUUACCGGAAGUGCUUGAGAGAACCCUGGGGCCUCAGGUUCAAAUCACAACAGAGACAAAAAUACAAUUAAUUUCCUUCCAUCUGUCUUAACUUUGGUGGAUAGAAUUACUUGGUACUUGUUGCUGGUGGUGGUGGGAGUUGAGAGGUAUUUUAUGGAAUUAGUCUAGGUGUGUGUAAGUUGGCUUGGAUAUGACGGUUAUAAAAAAAAAGGAGUUACUCCGUACUCGUGUUGGUGGGAGGUAGUGGAAUUAGUGGGACUUGUGUGUGUCGGAGGCCGUGGAAUUAGUAGAGGUGCGUGCAAGCUGAACUAGACCACGAUAAUGAAAGAACUUAAAAGAAGAAAUUAAGAGCUAUUUCAGAGAAGCUGUGUUGUAAAUUGGAUUAUACAUGGAUUGAGAAGUGAUAAUUUAAUUUGAUGAAAAAUUUGGCCUUUAUUACUGGCUUCAGUUUGUGUUAAAUGCUAACCAAAAUCCUCCCUUUUUUCUAAAUCUGUAGUAGCUUUUGUCUGAACUCAUUGAUUGGGACGAACAAUUAGAUGAAUGAUUUUUUUCAUUAGUUAUUAGGGAAGUGUUAAAAGAUAUUUAUUAAAUGUUGAUAACAGUGUUAGUAAUGUUGUUAUGUGUUGAAAAAUUGGUGAUUUUUUUUUUGUGUUCCUUAUUUUCUGGGACAUGAGUUGAAAAGUGGUGUAUUUUCUGUUUUCUUCUGUGGACAGUAGCUUACUGAUGUUAGGGUCACUGAGUGUGGUUUGUUAGUUUUCGUGCAGUAAGCUAAUCGUGAAGCUUUGUAUAUAGGUUGCAUCACGACUAAGGAGCUUGGGACUGUGAUGAGGUCGUUGGGACAGAACCCUACUGAAGCUGAACUCCAGGACAUGAUAAACGAGGUGGAUGCAGAUGGUAAUGGAACCAUCGACUUCCCAGAGUUUCUAAACCUCAUGGCCAGGAAGAUGAAGGAUACUGACUCUGAGGAGGAGUUGAAAGAGGCAUUCAGAGUUUUCGACAAGGAUCAAAAUGGCUUCAUCUCAGCUGCUGAGCUUCGUCAUGUGAUGACUAACCUUGGAGAGAAGCUUACUGAUGAAGAAGUCGAUGAGAUGAUUAGGGAAGCAGAUGUUGAUGGUGAUGGACAAAUCAACUAUGAGGAGUUUGUUAAGGUCAUGAUGGCCAAGUAAUUCCACCAUCCUCUUGUUACAUUUGAAGUUUAGACUUGUCAAAAAUGUGAAAAAAAAGCCAAAAAUAAUUCAUUGGAUAGGAUCUUAUCUAGUAUAAUGUAAGUCUUACCAUCUCGAUGUAUUGAACCUUCAUUGAAUGUAAUGUUUUAUUGUAAGGGUGGUGUAAUCUCUACUUAUUUUCUUGAAGUUUAUGUACUUUCUUUGAUCCUCUUAGUUGAUGAAUGCAAUUUUAUGAGGGUAAUUUCCUCAUCGCAAAGUGUUUUGUAAGGAUUCAUCAUGUAUUGACUAGCUUAGUACGCAAUGUACCACCCAUUUCAUGUAGGUUUCGGGUAAGGGCCAGCAGCCCAAUACUACAAACAUAUGCUAUCCACCCUGUUGCAAGUCUGAAUUACAGUUUAACUUUAUCGUUGCUUCAAGGUUCCAUUGGUAUCAACCGUUAAAACAUUUUAAUGGAUGAUGCAGGCAGCAGAGGCUUGUGGGAAAACUAGAACUGACAUUACCUAUGUUGUGGGGUUGGUAAGCCAUUAUAUGCAUGCUCCUUGUCAAGCACACCUACAUGUAGUAUAUAGGAUCUUGUAGUACCUCAAAGGUUAUCUUGGCAAAGGUAUGAUCUAUACUAAUCAUGGCCAUGGGAGAGUUGAAAUCUAUAGUAAUGCUGAUUGGGGUGGGUCAGUAGAGGACAGGAGAUAAAUUAGAUAUUUAUGGAAAAAAUAACGAUGUAGAGGGAGACUGAAAAGAAGGCUCGACCUAUAGGGAGAGUGGUGGGCAGGGCCCCAUAGAGAUGUUGACAUCUGGGUUCACUUGAAAAACUAACGGAGAUAAGGUCGAUGAUCAACUUCAGGAUGAGAAAAGAUCGCUGAGAAAGCAUCUUGGCGAAGAUAAAAGAGUUCAACACCUGAUCGAAACAAAGUCCGUAUUCUUCCUAAACCCCCUAUUCUUAGCAUGGCGGAUAUUGAAUAAAGGGGUGACCGAGGGGGUACUGAUUUGAGGGAAGCAUAAAGGAAGAAUGGAAAAAUUUUCUCGCGGACAACAGUGCUCUGGUAGAAAAUUUGCUCUGAGGAUACGUAUGAUAACAACACCCACCUAAUGUAAUGUGGUGUGGAAAGGCAAGGGCAAGCGAUAGAAAGGAUAGUCCCUCGCGCGAACUACUACUACUAGAAAAAUGGUGAGACCAUUAGUGAAGAUGGACCAAGAAGGAUCCUAUCCUAAAGGAGAAGGAGGAGGAGUAGGAGCUAGAUUUAGGGACGGAAUCGAAUGACUACGAGAUAAACAAUGAGACAAAGGAGAGCACUUAGACGAGUCAGCCAAGAAGAAAGACCACCAAAAGUAACGACCACCAAGAUAGGCAUAGUAAUUCGAUCUUUUGAUCACCCAUUUUUGGGAGCUUCUGCCUUACACACGGAAGAUUGGAUUGCCUGAAUCAUGAGUCUUAUAUAUUGAUAAAAAGUUCAGAGAACAAUUUUUUAUGAAAAUCAAAAAAGAAUUUCCGGUCAUAAAAACAUAAAGGCAUGAAUUGCGCAAGAAGUUUUUUCGAUUAAAAUGACAUGCAACUCAAAGGACAUAAGACUUCUUGGUCAAGCCAAAAAGAUUGCCGACUGGAUGCUCCUACCCCACCAUGCCUAACCCUUUAUCUUACCUUAAGAAGAAAGAGGAGGUAGGUAUGAAGCGUGGGACAGAAUGCAAGAAGUGCAUACAACAGAUAACCUUAACCUUAAGGAGUGGUGGCAACCCUCUUGAUUGAUCAACGCGAGUGGCCGCUUUCUUGAUUGAUCAACGCGAGUGGCCGCUUCCUUUCCGUUGGUAUCAACCGUUAAAACGUUUACCCUAAUUAAUAACAUCUCCAUUUAUAUAAAGGAAUAUGCAUAUUGCACACUACAGACUGAAGAUGAACCAUAUAAAAACUAGAGAGAAACAACUGAAAUUAUCAAUUUCAUUUAUCAGGGCAAAAUACAAAUUCAAUUCUGCAGGAUUGUUUCUCCCAUCUAUCAAACAAAAGCAAUAAAGAACAAAGGAUUUAGUCACAUAAAUCCAUUAAAAACAAGUUUAUAAUCUCUUCAAGCUUUUCUUUCUCGCAUCGAUCUUCUUUUUGUCUGCAGGGAGUUUAGCCAAUCCAGCUUCCUUCUUCAUGGUCAGUGAUGGUGGUGCUGCUGACCCACUAACUGCUGUGUCCGCAGUUAGUGGCUGGUCAAGAUUGUUUCCUCCUUUUACAAUGUUAGCUGUAGGGGCUAACGGAGAAGGCUGUUGGAGAGGUGCGACUCCAGAUACCAGAGUCUUCUGAUCAACGUUACACAGUGAAGUAUGUGUCUGGCCAACAUUUAGGGCUGUCGUUGACUCGGAAAUAGCUCCUGUUUUUAACUUAGUCUUUGGUUUAGCAUGAAUACUGGUAUAAAGCCUGCAUGUUUAAACACCGAGGGAGCAUUAGACGGUCAGGAAGAACAUUCAAAGUGCUAAAACGCUACUUGAAACAACAAAGGUAGCCUAUUUUUUCAUCUAUUAAGGGCGGAUGACGCAGGGCCUAAGUUGAACCUACGACCACAUAAACUAUGCUAGUCAGCCAGACUGGCUUAAGUCUGUAUUAAAACGUAGUCAUCGGAUUUACGAGCAGGAAUUCCAGGUUUUUACAACUACAAAGAGGAAAUGAGCAUGAGUUGGUUCACUUGGAUCUUCUUUUUUUGGUUAUACUAGAUAUAUCAUUUUCCAAUUUGAUUUCUGUUGCAACCCUUUCAAAAUGUACUUGUAGCAUUUCUAUUAAAUGCACAAAAAUAAGAUCAACUUAAAGCACAACAAAACCAUGUUGGCACCAUAAUAUAAAGACAGUUACAUGUAGGAUAAUCAAGCAGGACAGUACAAAUAAUUGCAACAAAUCAGGUAUGGCGAUGCCAAAUAAUUAUCAAGGUGGCAUGAAGUGAAGCUAGUCGGGCUAACUCACCUUGCAUGUCUAGCAUACUCAUCAUAAUUAUCAAGAAGCAUCUUGCCAGCUUGCUCAUUUAGCGCAGAUUCCGGAAAUGGCUCGAUAAGUAAACAUCUUACCACCUGUUACAAAACCAUCAAGGAAAGGAUAAUGUCAAUUCAAACUUAUCUCCAGAGGAGACUCAAUUUUUACUUAGAAAUAAAACAGAAACUUACCAUGAGAACAUGUCGUAGGCCCAAACUAGGACUCCAAUCUUUUUUCAAAGCAUUUACACAAAUCUCGCCAUUGGAGGCAAUGUUGGGAUGAAAAAUCUUGGUCAGAAAAUAACCUAGAAAAAAAACGAAAAAUGUAAAUUAUGCACUCCAUAUUUGCUUAGCAAUUGGCAAUGAGAGAUCUCCUCCCAGAGAUGCCGAAUGUUGCAAUGCUUCAAGUGGUAACUGCUAUUAAACUUUUCCAUGAGAAUUGACAUAGGAAUUGCAGCUAGUCCCAGAGAACAAUAUGCUCACAAAAAUAAUGCCAAGAAAUUUAUUUACAUCAACAGCUGGAGAGUUCAUGUAGAGCCAAGGUACCCCAGAAAGUAAAGUUACUUGACCUAUUUAAAUGAGUAGAAAGUGAAAAAAAGUUCCUAAAACGAAAUAAACGGGGAAAAUACAACUUAGGUUCUUGAAUUGUGAUCAAUACAGAACCAACUGAUUGAAACAUCAAAAAAAAAAAAAAAAAAAGAUACAAGUAAAGGACUACAAAACACGUCACACUGGUAAAACUUUGAAAACAUUGCAAUGUUGAGACAAACCUUUGGGUGGGGAAUGAGGGAAAUCAUGUGUCAAAAUCAACUUCAUGCGGAAUACCCCAUUCUCAUAAGGAGUCCCAGCUGCAAGGUAGAUAAGGAGCAAUUAGAACAAGUGUCAUGUCUCAAGAACUGAAAUAUGUACAACAAACACAACAUACCUGGACCCUCAAUAUCAGCAAAUAUGGUUGAAAAAUCAUCAUCAUUUACACCUACUUUGAUGCCCUCAGGAGGAGAAUCAUCAAGAUUUUUCAAUUCCUUUGCCAAUUGUUUUAUCACGUUUGGUGGCAGAUUUUCAUUAGUUGCCUAUGCCAAAAAAACAAAUUUAGGACAAAAUCAAUUGACAAAUGGCAAAUUACCAUACUAAAUUACUUAUCACAAGAUAAGGAAACAGAAAAAAAGAACUAAUUCAUUUGGAUCCAGGAAGAAAAUGACAUAAAGAAACCUAGUAAUAGUAACACAUUGAAUUCGAUGAAAUACCAUAGCCAAAUAUAAGUAAAAAAAAAAAAAAAAACAGAUACAAGUAAAGGACUACAAAACACGUCACACUGGUAAAACUUUGAAAACAUUGCAAUGUUGAGACAAACCUUUGGGUGGGGAAUGAGGGAAAUCAUGUGUCAAAAUCAACUUCAUGCGGAAUACCCCAUUCUCAUAAGGAGUCCCAGCUGCAAGGUAGAUAAGGAGCAAUUAGAACAAGUGUCAUGUCUCAAGAACUGAAAUAUGUACAACAAACACAACAUACCUGGACCCUCAAUAUCAGCAAAUAUGGUUGAAAAAUCAUCAUCAUUUACACCUACUUUGAUGCCCUCAGGAGGAGAAUCAUCAAGAUUUUUCAAUUCCUUUGCCAAUUGUUUUAUCACGUUUGGUGGCAGAUUUUCAUUAGUUGCCUAUGCCAAAAAAACAAAUUUAGGACAAAAUCAAUUGACAAAUGGCAAAUUACCAUACUAAAUUACUUAUCACAAGAUAAGGAAACAGAAAAAAAGAACUAAUUCAUUUGGAUCCAGGAAGAAAAUGACAUAAAGAAACCUAGUAAUAGUAACACAUUGAAUUCGAUGAAAUACCAUAGCCAAAUAUAAGUUGAUGUCCUAGGAGCAGUUGGCAACUUUGCUGAUGAGUUAUCAGUGAAGCACGUAGUUUUAGCUGGUAGUUUAGAUGUUUAGACAAUCAAGCUUAUGAAAGAAUCCUGCAAAAGGGCCAGAAAAAGAUAAUCAGAAUACAAUCCUUCAAUUGUCCAACCAAUCAUAAGAAACAGGCAAGUAAAGAUCUGUUCAAAAUGACAAGGCCAUCUUCAAGAAAAUUGUGUCAAUCCACCAGAUGUGGAUAAUAUGUCAGAGAAUCACAAAAUUGUCAACACAAAUACAAGUCCAUAGACUCCUCUUCUCCAUAUUAGUCCAUACAAUAAGACAAAUGUCUAAAAGAGUCUCUGAUUCUCAAAGAAAAAAUAAUAUACUUGACUGUUCCAAUCACACAUACAGCUCUACUUUUCUCAGUUUCUGAACUUACACCUACUUGGUGGCCUAUCUACCCUCACAGGAUAGGGGUAAUGCUGCGUACACACCACCCUCCCUCGAUCUCACUUAGUGAAAUUACUGUUGUACACUACCUACUUGGGUAGCACUAGGGAAUGGCUUUUUGGUUAAUAAGCUCCACAGAAUGCAACUCUUGAUUUUCAAUAUUGUUCCACUACAUAAAUAAAAUUCCCUUCACAAUCAGGACAUCAAAAUCAUGAAAUAUGGUAGCUUGACUAGUUUCAGCAUAAAGUCAAAUGUAAAGACAUCACAGAGUGGUAUAACUAGAAAAUCCAACCACUUGUAAGAGAAAUGUUAGAUGCCGAAGUAUCUUCAUCAUCACUUCGUAAAGAGUGGUCUAAAACUACUUGAUACUGAAUGUCAACAGAAACAAUGGUAGUACUGAAGCUAACAGUGCUACAAAGAAAGAUUAGGCAAAGAAUCCAAGCACCCAGCCAAAAGAUUAGUCAAUUGGACCAUUGAUAUCUAGAAUGGACAAAUUCAUAGUCGAUCACAUAUUCCCCAAUCUGGUAAAUUCCAAAAAGGAUAUCGUUAAACACUAAAGCUCACUUUGGUACUUCAACUUAGUACACAAGAGUCGCUAGUAUGGUAAUCCUGACAGAACUAACAAAACUAUUAGGCUGUUUGCUGCCUGACCCUUAACAAUAGAACAUCUUAAACAGCAGAAACACACCAGUUCAUAUAACCGCCCUCAAAGAAGGUGCUUUAGUUAUUAAUAGCUAUCACAAGCAUUAAGAUUACAAGAAUGAUUACUUCGAAUGAGCAAACAACAUAAUAGCAGACAAUAAGAGAACUAACAGCACAUCCAGAGAAAGAAAAAAAAUUGGGAUCCUAGCCAAAAGUUGGACACCAUGGAACCGGUAAUCAAAAGGAGCAACUUUGAGCUGGAAAACUCAUGUUGAGUUCAUAACCCCAUCAAAAUUAACCAGUGCCAAAAUCCUGUAUGCACAAGGUUCUCUAACCAUGUUGACAAUAAUCCACCAACCUUUCUCUCAAAAUUCAACUCCAAAUAUAAUACUCCAUAAGACAAACUAAAACCCUAGAAAUAUGACAUUUCAAAUGCUUACUCGUAUGGAUGAUUGAAUACUCAAAAUAUCUUGACUUUGGUAAUUUCAUCAAAGGGGAUAAAUCAAAAAUUGCUCAUCACAACCAAAGUCAAGACUUGAAACAGACACUUAUCUAUAGCCACUUUAAAAUCAAAAUCAAACACCCAAUCUUCCUAUUUACACAUAUCACAAUGCACCAAGAUAAACAUUAAAGAAUCAGUAAAACACACACAACACAAACACAAUUGGAAUCUUCACCAAUUGAAAACCUAAUCAGACAAGCAAAGAGAUCCUACACCUUAACAAUCAAAACCCAAACCACAAAGUCCAACCAUGAAAGCAAACAACUUUACAUACACCCUUUUACAAUUAACAUCAAAUGAAGCACCGAUCUGAAUCAAAACUCCAAGAAAUCACAACCCCAUUUCUAAAAAUCAAAUCUUUAUUACUCCCAAGUCAAGAAAUCAGACACUCACAAUCAAGAUUGAUGAAAAACAGUCAUCUAGAUAGUGCUGGAAACAAAAUUCAACAAAUUUAAAGGAACCCCAGAUGGCAAAAACUCACCUUUAGGCCUCUAGAGAGAGAGAAAUGAAAGGAACAGAAGUGGGUAAAUGGAUUAGAGGAGUAAGGUGUCUAUUUGCUUUCCCUUUCUCUAACUUGGAACAACACCCACAAAAAAUCCAGAAAGUGAUGCCUUUUUAAUAUAUCAUUUGAUGAAUUUUGGAUUAAAGAGACACUGAUUGAUGUAUAUGUAUAUGUAUACGUUACACACCAACAUAGUCCAGAGAGGAAAGUAUAGAAUAUAAGAGAAAAAUAAUGAGAAAAAACAUUUGUCUAUAUUUUUAAUUUUUGAAAAAAUUAAUUUAAAUAACACCUCACCCAAUCGUCGGGCUAUUUGUGUAAAGAUCUCUUCUUUUUUUUUUUGAGGUUAAACUUGUGAAUAAGAGUGGAAAAACAUAAUUUAAGUUUAACCUUGAAAGUAUUGUUUUAACUUGAAUAUCAAAUUUUGCUUCUGAAAAAAAAUAAAGUGGAAGGAAAUAGAAAUAUAUAAUUUGAGGUUUUAUUAUCGUUCUGGAUGGUUUUAUUACGAUGAGGAAAAUAAUUCAUUCUUUUAUUGCAUUUUCUCAUUUCAGAGUCGAAUUUAUCGAGUUUGAUACAGUAAAAAUGAGUUUUGAUCUAGUUUCAUAGAUAAGUUAUGUUUUACAUGAUGUUCAUAGUUUUAAAAUUAUACAUGAAUCAAGAUAUAAUGUGUAAAAUGCAAAUAAUUUAUGUAACUUCGGCAUCUCUUGGCCAAAGAAAUCGCUAGAUAAAAAUCUUAAUAGAGAGAAUUAGAAAUAUAAAGUAGCAAGAACUGAGGGGGGGAAAUCAUUCUUUUUUGCAUUUUCUUGUUUCGGGUGUCGAAUUUAUAGAGUGUGAUAUGGUAAAAACGAGUAUUCAUCCAGAUUUCUGAAUAAGUUAUGUUUCACAUGAUGUUUGACUAGGUUCGUAGUUUUAAAAUUUAUACGUGAAUCAACAUAUAAUAUGUAUAAUGCAAUUAACUAUGUAACUUCGACAUCUCUUGGCCAAAGAAAUCUCACGAUGAAAAAAAAUCUUAAUAGAGUGAAUAGGGAUAUAAAAUAGCAAGAACGAAUGAGCAAAAGAUCACGUUGACAAUAAAAAUGUAAGAUAGAAUUUUUAAUUCUUUUAAGAACGUAAUUGUCGUAAUUACUCGACGAAUAUGAAAACAAUUAUCAUAUUAAUUGCUUAUAAUCCUUUUAUGAAUACCCUUGAUUAUCCUAUACCAAUAAAUUGAAAAUCAAUGGCAAUUAUUUGUUGAUUCAAUAAGGAUAUCUAAAAUAGUUGGCAUGGUCAUUAUGUCACACUCUAUUUGACAAAAAUGCCUCUAUGUUCCAAUUGUAGGUCCAUCUAUGAACAAAUAAUUGGGUAGCUUGUACUUAAAUUUAUUUUUUGAUAAAAAUAAUUCUCAAUAUAUUUUUAUAACAUUUUAAUUCGAUAUGAGAAAGAUAUGCUUGAAUGUCUAAUUUAUACACGAGACUUAUAAUUUUUAAUAUAUUAUAAUUUCAAAUUAUAUUAUCUUUUUAUAUCGUAAUGUUUAGAUCAACUUAUAUAUACCUCCACUAAUACGAUAAUAAUUCAAUUAUCAAGCCUACAUAACACCAACAUUAUCACCAAGCUCAAAUGACAUAUUUUAAAUAUAUAAAAUCAGAUAUAGUUAAGUUCAUUAACAUUAAAAAAUGAUUAAUUCCAAUUAACUAUGAUAGGAAAAGUUUUACAAUCAUUGAGAAAGAGAACUUAAUGCCUAUUAAUUAAUCAAUAAUAAGGAUAAGGAUGUAAUAUUAAUUAAGUCCUUUGGUAGUUGACUCAUGCAAAAGCUAGCUGGAUAAAUUCCAUAAAAAAAAUUAGAGAAUAUAUUUAUUUGAAUUAAAUAUUAUAAUAAUUAUACUAUUUUAAUUUUUUCUUCAUCCAUUUUGUUUGUCUUACCUACCAUUUAGAUAAUUAAAUAUUAUUUUUUUCAAAUAAUAUCUUGAUAUUCUGAAUUUUAUAUAUUUGUUAUACACUUUCUAAAUAUGUAUAUUUUAUUUCAAAUUCUGUAUCCGAAUUUACACGAACAUAAUUAAUUUGAUUUCCGUACUGUGAAUCGAGUCAAAUAAAUUGAAACAAAUGAAGUAUAAUUUAAUAUUAUAUAAUAAAGUAGGUAUUUUAUUUAAUAUAUUAAAUUAAUGAAUUAAAGGUCCGAAUAUUGUCGGGUUAUGGGCCAUACCAAAUACUGUUUAGAAUUCAAAUUUUGCCGACACUUUUGGGCUCAUUUAUUGACCGUUGGAAAGUCCAAUGCAAAACUAGCCGUUGCCCUCUGCCAGCCUUUUAUUAUCUUGCAUUUUUUUAUAUAAAAAAUAAUAUUUUUUUUUAUAAAAAAUAAAAAAUUAUACUUUAUUUCAUGACUAUGUUAAAGCAUAUUGAAAUUUUUAUGCGGAAACGUUAGACGAUUAUCUAAAGAUUUUAUUUUUGAGUAAACUGAAAUCUUAUGAGAAAACGUUAGAUUGUUGUCUAAUUUUUUUGUAAGUUAUUGUAAACAUUAGAGAAGAACAAUUUAAUGUAUUGUUUGUAAGAUUGGGUAAUGUAUAAAGAAAACGGUAGAUCAUAAUCUAUUGUCACCCGAAAGGGUAAUUAUUCUAAUGUUAAAUUUGUACGACUUUUAAAUGAUAGAGACGAAAUUUAAGUGGUGGUGUUAAUAAAAAGGUUCAUCGGACGUUGAAAUAUGUAUGUGGUCGGAUUGUUUGUAUUUAGUUGUUUUUAGUCGAGGGUCUUUUGGCGAUAACUUCUCUAUUUGUAUGAGGUGAGGAUAAGAUCGGUGUAUACAAAUCCUCUCCAAAUUUCAUCUAUGUGGUUUCGCUGAGUAUAUUAUUAUUUGUGUUUAGUUGACUUAUAUAGAAGUUGAGGUCUUUUAGAAUUAUAUAUUUUUUGUGAAGUGUGGUGAUCGGAUUGUAAGUACUAUGUAUCCUUUGAUAAGAAACACUUUAUCCCCAAAAUAGGCCUUCUGGACACGACUAUGAAAUAGAAGGACUCUAAAGUGGAUAUCGAAUACCGAAUAAAAAUUAAAAUAGAAAAAUAAUUACAACUAUGUAAGAGAUCAAUUUUACCCUUAUGCUAUCUUAACUUAAACAACUAUGCCACGUGUUAUACAAUAGGCAUGAUCUUGCUCAGGGCCAUGACCAUUAGGAGCUCCAACUAGAAGUAUAACUAGAGAUAGUUUAUAUUAAAUUCAAAAAUAAAGAAGUAAGUUUGAAUUUUUUUUACUCGAAAUACCUAAAACAUGGAGUUAACCUAUUUCACAUUAAAACUUUAUUAAUAUCGUGAUAAAUACGAGAUGAUUUGCUAAUAAUAAGAUUAAGAAUGAACCAAAAGCAUAUCUAAUUGUUCUACUAAGGCCUUUUGAAUGGUGUAAGCAUAAAUUUGGACCUUUUCAAUAAAAAAAUAAAAAUUAUAAGACUAAUUUGAAGCAUCUAAUCUCUUCCAAAUAAAUAUUAGGAUUUUCUUAGUUGUUAAAGAGACAAUAUGACAAGAACUUUAUUUCAUUUCAACUAUUAGUGGCAUCAUUUGCUUUAAAAAAGAAAAUUAAACAAAAAGUAGGUUGAUUAGGGAAAUAAUAAGGCAUUAAUCUUUAAUUACCAUUAAUCUGCAUAGAGAUUCCAUGUUUCAAAUAUUUAAUUUCUUGUGAAAAUAUUUAAAUAACCAUCAAACUUUUUGCAUCCAUAUUUGGUUUCUAUUUCUAAUUCAAGUGCACUAAUAAUUAUAAAGAUUAAUCAAAUUAGACUACUAUUAUAUUAUCGUCAAUCUAUCACAAUCUUCUUCAUUUAUUUGAAUUUUAGAUCAAUCAUGAUUUGUGAUGCUUUUACUACUCGAUAUUUACACUAAGCUGCAAUCUUAACAAUUUUAAAAUUAAAGAAAAUAUACUUCACUUAAUUAUAACUAAAUGAUAAACGUGUGUUGUGAGAUAUGUUUGUAUUCGUUGGUUUGAUCUAAAUACUUUUUAAAGUUAAAUUUUUAUUGUUCAAAUAAAAAAAAAUAGUCACAUCAAAUAACUUGGUAAAAUAAAUUUAUAUAGGAGUAAAAUUAAUGUUACAUUUCUUGUUGCUUAUAUAUAAGCUUCAACGAGAAAAGGUAUAAUCUAUCCAAUAAUUGGGUUUUCUUUAACAAAACCAUUGAAGUCAGGACAAAGCCACACACGAUUACAACACACAUUAUCGAGUUUAUUACAAUGAAAAGGUACAAUCUAUUCAACGGUGUUAUUUAUUCAGAUUUUUUUUACUAUUAGUAUCGUUUGGUUGGGAACUAGUUAUCCCACGAUUAACUAUCAUGGGAUAACGUAUUCCACCACUAUGCUAUAAAUGGUGCGAUAAGUUAUCCAAACAUAUCAACCAAAUAAGACAUCUAAAUUUUAUCCCAGAACUAUUUUUUCAUCCCAUGACUAUUUAUUCUUAUCCCUCACACCAAACGAGCCCUAAGAGAGAACAUAAAAUACAUCAUAGCAUAAAAAAACUUGACUAAUGUAGUGAAUUUAUUAUAAAAGUUGACUGUUAUAAAGAUGUUUGACCGUACGUCUUUCCUUGAAAUGAAGAAUAGUAAUAGUUAAUUUUUUGAUAUAUUAAUUGAGUCAUAACAUUAGUUUUCUAAGACAUGGUGAUCAUUUCUUUAACAACAAAACCCAAAAAAAAUUUACAAAAAAAUCUUAAUUUUGAUAUUAAACUAAAUGAAAGUUAAAAUAAAAGCAUGCAUCACUUAAUUAUAACUAAAUGAUAAAUGUGUGUUAUGAAAUAUAUGUUUGCAUAGUUGGUUUGAUCUAAAAUCUAAAUAUUGAGUAGAAUUAAGUUCUUACCUUUCAAAUAUCGAAAUUAAAAAAUAGUAACAUUAAACAAUAAGGUAAAAUAAAUUUCAUAUAAGAAUAAAGUUUGUAAUCGCAAUUAAAACAAGGAGGGUAUUUAGGCAUAGUGAUUGCCAUAGAUUGAGAAAGAAAUAGAAAACUAAGAGAAAAAAGAAUUACUAUUACUUUUUCCAUUUUGUUUGUGAUGUUCUUCAAAUGUAUAAGAAACUUCUUAAUUUAUAGGGAUGUAAUUAUUAAUUUUUUUCCUUUUGUAGAAUAUAUUUUCAAAUUUUGUGCAUAGAAUAUGUCAAAAUUUCUCUUAUGGUAUAACUAAUAAUGAGAUGACUUUUUAAAAUAGAGUCAAACUUCUUUAUAAUAAUAUUGGUUGUUCAAAUUUUUUGGUAUUAAUGUAUUUUCAGAUUUUGUGCAUAGAAUAUGUCAAAUUUCUCUUAUGGUAUAAUUAUUAAUGAGAUGACUUUUCAAAAUACAGUCAAACUUCUUUAUAAUGAUAUUGGUUGUUCAGAUUUUUUGGUAUUAAUUUUUUACUAUAAAUGAUUAUUUAUGAUCACUUAUAAAUUUCAUUGAAGAAAAUUGUUUUCUUUUAGAUUUCUUUGUAAAAAUAAUGAUCUCUUAUAAAGAAGGACAUAAAACUUAAAUAAAUUAGCAAAAUGCUAAAAACCCAAAUCUCCUUUUCUUUAAAUCUUUAAUAAAUAUUGUUAUUGAGUAUAUAUGAUAUAACAUAACACGAUACUAGGAAAAAGAAAAACUCGAUUGAUAUAGUGAAACUUAUAGAGAUUGACUAUUAUACGAGAUCUGAUUAUAAAUGAAGAAUAAUGAUAGUUAAAUUUUGAUAUAAUUGAAUCAUAAAACUAUUUUUUCAAUAAACCUUUUAACGUAUUCUACCAUUAGUUUCAAAGAAAAGAUUCUACCUUUGGUUAAAUGAUAAACAUAUUGUGAAAAACAUGUUUUGCGUUCAUUGGUUUGAUCUAAAUACCGAUCGGGUGAUAAGUUUUUACCCCUUAUAUCAACAACAACAACAACUACGCCUCAAUCUCAAAUAAGUUAAGAUUUAACUCUAUGAAUCAUCAUUUCUUCAUUUAAGCUCAUAUCAUGUCAUCGUCAUCAUCAUAAUAAAUAAAAUAAUUUGGUAAAAUCAAUUUUUAUAAGCUCACAGCUUGUAAGAGAUUGCAUCAAAGAAAGUACUCAAAUUCUUAAAAUUUCUCAAAGAGUUCAAUUCAAAAAUUGAGGAUGGAAAGUACAAAGAGCUAAAUUUGUGAAGUUGAAAACAUAAAUAGACAAGAGAAACCUAGUAAACUUUUUCUUCUUGUCCUCUUUGUAGCUGGCUUCUAAUCUUCAUAAAAUAAAAUAAAAACUUCAGUUGAAUACUGAUUUUACCCCACUUUAUUGCUAAUGGUUUGAUAAAGAGACUGAAAUUGUGUGUUCCAUCUAUCAAUAGCUGUAUACUUCUUCAUCCCCUUUGACCUGAAAUAGCAAAUAUCCAAUGAAGUUCAAUAUAUUAGAGAAGGAAAGAAAAAGGGGAACACGGGAUUAAGUUAUAUACACUGACAAUGGUUUAACGUGUGAUAAGCAAGUUUAGUACAAUCUUUUGCUAGGUUAUUGAUCGAUGGUUAUCCGAGAGAUUUAUAUGUAACUACAUUAUGUGUGAUGUGAUAUGCAUUGAACUUAAACUCAAGGGGAGAAAAAAGACAGUGGAUGAACCUGUCGCAAUGCUCCAACAAUUUGUUUACUUGGUCAAUAUGACCUUGUAUCCGGUUAUCCAGUAUCAGUGACACCAAUAACGUUUCCACUUCACCUUCUGGUACGUUAAUCUCCUGAAUGUAGAUGAACAUGGCAAAUUUCAGUUCAACAGAGGAUUUCUCGGAUACAUAUAAGCAGGAAACACACGAAUAAAGAAUCGACUACACAAAUGGGAGGGGGGAAACGGAAAGAAUUUGGAGUACAGAUUUCAAUUGCUGGAUAGAAAAAGGCAUGAGGAUUACUCGUACCUUCGAUAUGAAAGGAAUCCUGAUCCGUGUAUAUGGUUUAAUGAGUUUCAGCAACACUUGAGUCCUUAUAUUCUUCAACAAGUCCUCAAUAUAAUUUCUAAUGAAUGGAUCAUCCAUGAUAGUUUUUCUAUUGCUCUGCAAAAAUCCAUUUUUUUAAUCUGUUAUUCUUUCUAGACUAGAUGUGAUAACCAAUUAAAGGACCCUAGUAAUCCUCACCUUAAGGAUUUUCUCGAAUUCCAAUAUCUCAUUUCGUUGAUAUGCAGCAAUCAAAUUAGUCAUGGCCAAGAUUUCUGGGUCAUUUUUGUACCUGGAAUACGGUCUUGCUAAGUCAGAAUAGUGAAACAAAAUAAGGAUAAUAAACUACAUGCUGAAUGGAAGUUUACAUACGGUUUUGCCUCCUGCCCAUCAAACGGAUUAACUUGUGAUUCCAUAAGCAUGUUGGCCAACACCAAGUAUCUGCAAUGUUUUUAAAAAAAAAGGAGCUUACACGACUUUUGAAGGUGGUGAAAAAAAACUUCUGAAUGUAAAAAUGCUGAAAUAUCAGAGCAAACUCAUAUCCUGAAACUUAGGUAGUGCAAGCUCUCUUUUAUACUUUUUAAGACGAUAAAUAUUGAAAUUCCUAGAGAAGCCUAAAAACUAUUGGGCGCACCUUGAAAAUUGUAGAUCGAACAGAUUUUUACAUAUUCAAAAGCUAAUUUUCACUAGCAAAUUGAGGAAUAAACUCAUGAUUGCAUUUGUGAUGGGCACUUCUAGUGAUGCUCAGCCGUGUAGUUUAUAUCUCAUACUUGUAUAAUUCACCACUUUAGUAUAACUGAAGUUCUUAUUUCCUAUUAGUUAUUCAACCAACUAACAAAUAUAAUUUAUUGCAAAAGCUCUAGUCACCCAUGGAGAGGUCUUCCUAAACAGAAUAAGAGAAACAACUAUAAAGCAACUUUUAACUUACUUCAGGCACUGUAUGCGCCGUUGAUUACCAGCUUCAUCGUAGUUCUUAAAAGCUUCAAAGAAGUCAGUAGCUGCCUCUGCCCACUGUCUUUGUGCCAUAUGCAUUUUCCCACCACACUCACGGAUUAUUCCCAUUAUUCUAGGAUGUGGGAUAGCUGAUUUGAUUGUAAGAGCCUUCCCAUACAAUUCCUAUCAUUAAGCAUUUUACCAGACAUGUCAAAGGAAAAUAAACUUAAGAGCCACUACUUGUAAAAAAUAAUUUACAAAAAAGAAGAAGCUAAACAAUAUAGCAUAAAUCGAUAAAAAUAGACUUAAGACUCUUGGAAAUAAAUGUAUAAGUAUCUCCAACAAUAUUAACAUCAUCACCAGCACAAAGAGCAAUGUAAUCGCACAAGUAGGAUUUGGAGAAGGUAGAGUGUAUGCAGACCUCACCCCUACAUUGUGUAGGUAGGAGGCUGUUUUUAUUAGACCUCAGCUCAAGGCAAGCAUUUGUGUAGGUAGAGAGGCUGUUUUUAUUAGACCCUCAGCUCAAGGCAAGCAUAUACAUAGCAUAUAUGCAAACAUAAUUAAGUAAUUUAAAAAUGUAAACUAGCUAUGACAGCCUCUGCUGACAUUUUAGUGUCAGAAUUAUUUUAUUUUAUUUUUACCCUCCCUAGGAGGCUCCCACCCCCUUUUGCUCCCUUGGUGACUCGAACUCGCAACCUUUGGGUUGGAAUUGAGGGGUACUUACCAUCUGAGCAACUCCCUCUAAAAAUAAUACUCUAAAAAUCAGAAUUGUAAAAAUCAUGUAUUUUACAAGAAUAUCAUGAUACAUGUUGGAUAUUCAGUAUUGUAAGAUAUCAAUGGAUCCACAGAAUGAAUAGGUACAACCAUAAGAUACCUAUGGUUAAUGAUUCUAAUGAUAUCAUAGUGUACCUAUCACCUAUAGAAAAAAUAUUGCUUUGGAUAAAGCAGUUGCCAAGAGAUACUAAAAAAACCACCAAUUCAAUCACGCAGAUUAAUUGAAGACAAGAGAUGAAGCUGACUAGUCUAAAGAAUCUCUUAUUGGUUGGACUAAAGGUUACAAAGAAAAGAGGUUAACCCACUUUACAAUGUAAAGUUAUCAGAUAAAGUCCAACUCCCGACCUCCCCCCACCCCCAAAAAAAAAAACAACUUAAGCACUUAAAAUCCUAGACAACUAUUGAUUGUUUGAUCAAUAGUAGCACUAGUAUGAAUCAAAUAGUAGUGUUUGCUCUAAAGAUUCUGAUAAGUGGUUGGAAGUUUGGGAAACCAGAAAUUGCUAAAGAUGGAAAGUAACUUGACACGCACAUACUAAAUUAUGUCAAAGAUAGGGUUUCCUCAAAUAUAAGAUUUCGUGGAAAAAAACAGAGAUACCUAUAUUAUAUCUAUUGAAGGCCACACAAUAUGCCUCUUAACAUGACCUUCAGAUUCCUUAAUUACUAAUUAGUUUGAGUACCACCACAUACGGCUGAACUGUUCUGCAAAAGCAUACACACUUCAAAUCCUAGAAGUACAGAUAUGAAGUGAUAUAAUAGUCUUCAGCGUUUAGAAGAAGAAAAUGUGCUUUUACAAAAUUUAAUGACAACCAAGUCAUCUGUAUGUGAAAAGCACUUCGAACAAGUUGCUAACAGUUAUGUUCAUCUAGAAUCUUCAAUAAUACAAAUGGCGUAUUAACUUGUAAGUUAUGAUAUGUUGGUGAAAAAUUCAAUAGAUAUCUCCCUCGAAUUAUCAAAUAAAAGUGAGGAGGUACUAGGAUUACUCAAAAUGACUUACCUUCAGCUUUUUGUUGUUCUUUGUCUCAGUGUACAUUUGAAUUUCAAUAGCAUAAACCUCCAAGAGCUGAGUCCCUUUCUUUUGAUCAUCAGUACCAUCAGCUUUUUGACAAGAUCUGUGAAGCUCCUUCAUAAUCUUCCGUGGGUAAAAUAAAAGGAAUUAUAGAAAAGAGUCAACCAUGAUAGCUUUGUAAUAUGUGAAAAACUAAGGAUGUAUAUACAAACGACACCAUACCUUGUUCAUUUUACCAUACUCACCCAUGUCAAACCAGAUCUUGCAAAGCUUAAGAUUUGUCUUAAACCACAACCUCUGCACAUUGACAAUUAUUUCUUUAGCAAAACAUCCAUGAAUAGCAAACCAACCUUCACCCUGGAAAGGGAGCAGAUAUAUGUUGUAAUCAAAUAAUGUAUUAUCUUACUUCAUUUUUAGCCUCUUCAAGGGCUUUCAGUGUGGUUUCAUAGAACUCCCUCAACAAACCAACAUUCUGACUAGCUGAGCCAGAGACAAAAUCCAUUAUGUUGUUGAUGCACUUCUCGCUGUAAUUUCGCGUUACCGCUGAUAUAAUAUAAGUAAGCAUUUCCCUGUAAGCGUCCAUCAUCUGCUUAUACCUCCCUAAACGAUAAUAAAUUUUGACUGUCUGCUUAAGAGCUUUAAAACCCCUAAUCAAGACACAAGAAGGAAGAUCAUAAGCCAUGAACCCAUUGAAAUCGUAGUGUAAAAGCAGUUCAAUGUUGAAAAUUGGGACUGAUGAAGAUAAUGCAAUAUCCUAAAAACAAAUUCAAAUUAAAGCUGAUACUGAUCAAAUGGAAUAUAAUGCCAAAAAAAGGAGCCAAGACCUAGAAGAUUGUUAGGAAAAAUGCUAUGUCAUGUCUUAUAUACAACUCAUUACAAACAUCGCCAUAUUAUGUUUCAAACCAUACGCUUUGAUAAGAAAAUGGACCUUGGGUCUUAGUCAAUUUCAGAAGCUAGCUCAUGAGUUGAGAACCACCCAAGAAUAUAUAAGAAGACCAGAUACCCACCCCAAAAGCCAACGUGGGAACUCAACACUCCCGCACACCCAGGUUUGGACAUCUGAAGAGUGGACAAUAUAAGAUGGGGCCCAUGGAUAAACAAUGAAUUGGGAUGGGACUAACUUUGAUAUCAUGAUAAGAAAAUGGACCUUGGGUCUCUCCGUCAACCCCAAAGCUAGCUCCUGAGGUGAGGAUUGCCUAAGACUAAAAGGAGACUAGAUACCCAUCCCACGUGGGACUCAACAGGCUUGGUAUGGUUUAUCCAAAAGAUGUUAAAAUCAUAUCACAUAGGAACACAUAAAAUGUUUAACUAGAUUCAAACUCUCUUUUCUAGCUGAUUUGCUGUGAUAAGGCUCGAGUUACUAAAAGACACGGAAGACGUCAUGACAAAAUUAGAUAAACGUUACACAAUGCAUCCUCUAUUUGACUACUUCAUAAAAUAGUAGAUAUCCAAAGUAAAUCCACAAAAUUGAAGAUAGGCAAAUGGGUAGCAUGGAAGAGAUCUAAUAAGUAAUUAAAAGUUGUUACAAGGACUACCAAAUCCUUUUCGUUGCACCUUUAAUAGGUAGUUCUUGGAACAACUUUAGUUACAAGGUCAACAGUCAACUAAUAAGUGGAUUUAUAUCAGUUGACUCUAUCAACCUACAAAGUUGACUGUUGUUUCAGCACUUUAUCGUCAGUACUCAAGUCCUUUGUUUACUUGGUUACUUUCAGUUGGAAUAUUAUCUAAGGCAGUUUCUUUUUGGUCUCUUAGGCUUUUCGUUUUGUGUCUGAUAGUUCUUUUGGCAUGUAGCAUCCCACUAUAAAAAGCUUGGGCAGCAAGCGUUAGAGAAAUUAUUACCACCCAACAAGUUUUGAUUUCCAGCCAGUGAGCUCAGUUCAAAAGCAUGAUUUUUUCUUGGGGCUCAAAUGUUAAGUAGUCAGUAGGUUAGAUAGGCCUACAAACUUUUCCUUCUAUUAAACAGAUUUUGCAUGUAGCAUAGUUUAUGUAUGGGAAACUAACCAACAACACCGAUUUCUAAAAGAAAAUUAGUAAGACCAUUGGAAUGAACUUCAUACUCAUAGGCUGUAAAUUACCAUUCUGCCUUCUCAGGUUCCAUUUGUACCACCUCCGCGAAUCCCUCAAGUGCACCCUCUGGAUCCGUCUCAACCAUACCUGGAAAUCAGGGCAAUAGAGAAGAAGCUCUAGAUUUAGAAAGCAGGAAUGAAAUUACAAUCACUGUAAUAUAUGUCGAACUAAAAAUGACAAAAUAAUGUAUUACAUAAACAAAAGUUUCAAUUUACAUAAUCAAAAGUGGAUACUGAGUUAGCCAGCACAUACAUGACACAACUGUGCCCCAAUCACAGGUAUAGUAAUGACAAUUUCUUCCUUGUUAUGAUGUUAUCUGUAGAACUCAGUUUCUUCACCGAAGUUCUAAAAAACAUUUGCUGAUGAAAUUCAUUUCAAACCUCUGCUGGAAUCAAGAGAAAUCAAGGGAAUGGAAAGUUGCACAAUUUUCCUUUUAAGUAUUAGGUUUGCAAGGAGAAAGAGGAAAUAAUGUAGAGGAAUCCAAUAUUUGUUGGACCAACUUCUUUAAUUGAAUAAAAAGUGUUAAAGUUAAAAUUUCAUAAAAAGCAAACUCAAGUUACUUCACGACCCAGAGAUUAAGGAGGCUUGUCAAAAGUUUAAGGGUAUGAUCAAGUCAAGAGAACCAUUAAGAAUAUUGUGCAGGAAAGUUUUAAUGAUUAUAACACAACUAUUUGGAAUCCCAAGAAUUAGAAAACUUCCAUUAUUACAUGUAGCUUAGACUCCUUUAUAAGAAGGCCGUGUACAUGUUAUUAACCACUCAAUUCAAUAAGAAGUUCUCUCUUGUUUUUCUUGUUUUUUUAUAUAGCAAGAUUGUUAAGUAGAGAAACUAAGAAAAAAGUUGAUAGGAAGUGACCUUCCAACUUCUAUAGUUGAGCACCGAUGGAGAGAAUAAUUUUAGGAAGUAGAAAUAAUUUCAUUCAGAAAGAUGGAAAGUAAUGGUGUUAAGUAAGUACAGAGUAGUAUAAUUCCAUUAAAAAGUUAAGAUAGAUUGUAUUUCAGAUUUUUCAUUUUGGUAUAAAGAAGUUUGGGUAGAUUAUACUGAACCAAUCUUACAGUUUUUGGAUCUCUAUUUAAGUUUUACAAGGUGAUGCCUAGUUUUGUGUAAAUACUGCUUCCAUAUUGUUACCUUUAUCAAAAAUAAAAAAGGAGAAGUAAGAACGGAGUAGCAAUGGGGUCGGAAAACGGUAAACCCUUGUGACACUUCAUUUAUUUAAAUGACUAUGGAGAUAAAGCAUUGAUGAGGACAGGUGAUAAAGGCAAAGUAUGAGGAAAAAGAUUUUUCAGUACAAGAACAGUAAAUACUAUCCAUGGUCCAGGACAACCUAAUUGAAUCUAAGUAAAAGUUUACCAACUUCAAAGUUCAACAAUUAAUGGAGAGACACUUGUGUGCUCUGAUUCAACUUUAAGUUAUCUAUUUCACAUGUACCAUGUUUUCACAAGAUUAUCUCUAGUUGACGGAGGCGGAGGUAGGUGGGAUCAAGAGCUGCGAAAAACUACAUUGUAUACAUAAGGUUAAAAUUAUCUUUUUAUGUUUAUAUACUAUAUGUUAUCUUGACUUCUUAUGUGUUUACUUCUUUGUAUUUUUUAAUACCCUUAGUGAAAAUACUCGUUCUGCCACUAAUAGUGGCCUCCAAAAUUAUUAAUAAGGAUAACCAGCAAGUGACUCAAUCAACAACAUUAGCUUGUGAAUUAUACAAAGAUCAUUGAUCAUCAUCAUCAACAACAACAACAUACUGAGUGUAAUCCAAUUACACUAGUGAGGUCUAGGUAGGGUAGGAUGUAAGCACACCUUACCCCUACCUUUGUGGGGGUAGAGAGGUUGUUUCCAAUAGUACACUGAUCAAUGUUUCAAAAUAGCAGAUCAACCAUCAAAUUACCCCAGAAAACCCAACUAACAUGGGGUGUUGUAGCUGAUAAAUUUGCACAAAUUUCAUAAUUACCUUUUGAAUUGUAAUACUGAUUCUCAAUAUCAACAUCCUGCUCCUCCUGGUCCUCGUCCGAAUACUCAAAUCCGUAAUCCUCCAUAUCAGCAUCUAACACAUACAAAUAAUAUCAGUAUAUACGUAAAGAAACAAAACCCAUGUCUCAAAAUUUCAUCUUUUUUCUAUUUACACACCAAAAUUUUACUUUUUUCAUAAAAAAAAAACUGAUCAAACUUUGCAGAAAUUUGGGCAUAUAGCGGAAAAAACUCCAAUCAAAUUAAUUUUUUUUAAUAUAAAAUUGAAAUUCUGACCUGAACCCAUGUUUCGUAGAAGAAGUACAGAGCCCUUUGAUUUGCUUCGUUAUGGAUUUGUGAGAAAAUCAGAGUGAAUGAAGCUUCGGGGGAUUUUGUGUUCCUUUAUAUUUCUUCUAAGAAUUUGCCCAAAGGCUAUAUAUAAGUAUUGUUUUUAUUUUAAAAAAUGGUAUUUUGAAUUUGUUUAAACCUACUAAAUAAUUGUAAUAUAAAAAAUGCACUAAAUGAUUAAAUAAAAUAUGAACAGCUACGAUCAAAUAUAUAUAUAAAAAAUAAACGAAAUAUAAACGGUCAAGAUUAAAACAUUCAUUAAUCGCAAAUAAAUGAGACUUUGAUGGGCCUGAAUAGUAAUAAUGGGAAAAUUGUAUAUAAUAACAAAUUAUUAAUUCAAAUUAAAUGUUAUAAACAUAGUUUGAUUUAAUUAUACUUCAUAACAAAGUGUUGUUAUUAAGCCUCUCUCUCGCUUUUAUACAAAACAAAUGUAUAAAAUGUGUUUGUGUUUGUAUAAAGCAAAAGAAAAUUGUAUAUAUACAUUAUUUUCGUUCCCCUCUCUCCCCUCUCCCAGAUCUCGCUCGCCACUCUCCCAGAUCUCACUCGCCUCUCUCAUUUUAUACAAACACAAAUGUAUACAUUGCGUUUGUGUUUGUAUAACGUGAGAGAAAAUUGUAUAUAUAAAUACAAAUGCAUAUAUUUUCGUCCUAUACACUUAUGAUUAUACAAAUAUGAUCUUCCCCUGCCCAGUUUUCUUUUGUCUUUCUCUCUUUCUCGCUUUAUACAAACACAGAUUAUACAAUUGAUUCUUUUGUAUAUGUAUAUCGAAACAGAUUGUACAAUUGCUUCUUUUGUAUAUAUGUAUAGCGUUUGCUAUGGAACGCAAUUAUGCAAACUAUAGAUAUAACAUACAAAUAUGAUUUUUGUGUUUGCUAUAUGUGAAAGUUGCUCAUAAAUAAUUAGGAUAUAUACUUAGGUCUUAAUAUUGUCUGAAUAUUUAUUUAAUAUUUUAUAAAAAAAAAAAAAUGACAAUUUUUUGUUAUUUGAUCAACUUUCACUACUAAAUAUCGUCAUCUAUCAUAAUUAUAAAUAACUAUACCAUUUACAAUCAUUACAACUAGAGCCGUCAAUAUGGGCUAGACCCGUUGGGUCGGCCUGGCCUAACCCGGGAUUUAAUAGGGCUGGGCUAAGAUUUUUGGAGCCCAUUUAAGAAAAGGGCUUUUUAGCCCGGCCUGAAUAAGCCUACUGAUUUGUGGGGCUUGAGAAAUAUAGGUAGGGCCGGCCCGUGGGCCAAAUAAAAAUAAUUAAAAAAAUAUAAUAUAAUAUUAAAAUUAAAAUUAAAAAGAGUCCAAACUCAAAAUCUAUUUAAUAUUUAACUAAUUGAAACCGCAUAUAAAUUGCAGAUGAAAAUGAAGAUGUUAAGACAACCUUGCCACAAGCUGAUUCAGAUAUGUUUGAUGAAGAUGAUCAUGAAGUGUUUUUAAAUUAUAAUUUAUAAUUUAUUUUAAUAAUUAUAAAAAAAGUAUAAUUUUAAAAAAAGUGGGCUGGCCCGGCAAGCCUGUAGCCCCACGUACUUGUGGGUUGGGCCGACCAUUUUCUGGCCCACACCAAAAAUGGGCUAGCCCGGCCUGACCCGUAAAAUGUAAAAGCCUGUAUGGGUUAGCCCGAAUGGGGUGGGCUAGCCCAUAUUGACAGCUCUAAUUACAACCACUAUCACUAAUCAGUUAGUCAUCACCCCCAUGGCACCACCGACCACCAUUAUAUAUCACCAUUCGUCAUCACCAUCAACAUUAUCAUCAAUCAAAUUAUCAGUUUUUGUUGUCAAACUACCACCAGUUUGUAAUAAAUAAUAUCAUUUUCAAUCGACAAAGCACAAUAAACAGUCAUAUGUGUUUUUAAAAAAUAUUUUAUUGAUAUAGAAUUAUAUUACUUUAAUUUAAAAACAAGUUUUAUGUAUUUAGAAUUUGGUAAAAUAAGUUAUCUUAAUUAUUUAGUAUUUAGAGUUUAAUACAACAUUUUAAUUUUUAAAUUCAUAUGUCUAAAUUUUAUUACACAUCUUUACUAUUUAAAUGUGUAUUUAAAUAUUUAAUUUUUUUUAUUAAUAAGUAUUAUAAACAAGGCUUUUGCAAUAAUAAAAAGAGAAGGAGGAGUUGAAAUAAAAACGGAAAAGGGUCAAAAAUAACCUUGAACAAUUCGAAAAGGUUCAAAUAUACCCCUCAUCCACCUAUUGGGUUAAAAAUACCCCUCAGUCCACCUUUUUGGUCCAUUUUUACCCUUAAAACUAACACCCUUUUAUUUUUUUUAAUUAUUUUUUAUUAUUAUUUAUUACGUGGCAUCUUCUAAUUGGAUAAACUAAAUUCCUACCCAUUAAAUUUCCUUCAUCCGCCCCGACCCAUAUCUAUAGCCCCAUCACCCAAACUCAAUUUAAAGACCCUUUAAAAAAAACAUCUCUUUCUCACUAAAGCUAUUUCAGUAUCACCCAUCAACUACAAGAAGAAGCAUUUUCAGCUACUUCAACUGCUGUGUGAAAGCUUGAAUUUGAUUAGGAUUGAUUUUUGAGUAUUUUUCUAACUUUGUUGUAAGAUAAUAUUUCAAGGUUACUUUAUGGUAACUCUUCCAAGAAAUAUCAAACUUAUUCUGGCUUUUGAAGAUUGUGAAAAAAAAGAAGAAGCUAUUUUAGGACCAAGUUAAAGAAUUAAGCAACUUCAUUUGAUGUAUAUGUUUCUUUCUUAAAAACCACGUAUCAGCUAUUCAUGUCUCUGUCAAUUUCUUAAAAGAUAUUGUGGUGUUCUUGGUGGUCUGUGGUGCAGGGAGAAAGUAAACUAUCAUAAUAUUAUGCCCAAAUACAGUUGUUAGCUAACCUUUUUUCAUCAAUUGAUUAAUUAUGUAGCAGGGCAUGUGGGUGAUCAUUGAUAUUAAGUGCAGUAUAUUGUUUUUCAUUUAAAUUUUUUUGGUACACAAUUUUCAUUCCUGCAAGAAGCUAUAAGAUGGAGAAAGAGAGGUUAAUAUAUCCUUUAUUUUUAAUGGGUUUUUAAAUUGGGUUUUGGGUUAUGGGCUAUGGAUAUGGGUCAGUGGGUAGAGGAAAAUCUAAUUGGUUGGAAUUUGGUUUUAUCCAAUAGGAAGAUGCCACGUAAUAAACAUUAAUAAAAAUAAUUAAAAAUAAAAGGGUGUUAGUUUUAAGGGUAAAAAUGAACCAAAAAGGUGAACUGAGGGGUAUUUUUAAUCCAAUAGGUGGAUGAGGGGUAUAUUUAAACCUUUUUGAAUAGUUCAAGGGUAUUUUUGACCCUUUUCCGAAAUAAAAAUUAUGAGCAAUAUUUGUGAGGAAUACUUAUCACCAUCAUUAGAAAAUGUUGCUUGAUAACUUUGAAAUGGGGUAAAUAUGAUUGCAUCAAGCUUUAAAUUUGGGUAUUCUAUACUAGCUCGGCUAGAUAAAAAAUUGAUGCACGUUGUACCUUGAAUCUCAAAAAUUGAGUCUGAUGAUCAGUGUAUUGUCAUGAUCAUAUAUUAGCUCAAUUUUAUUGACGACUUCAAGGCGAAACAAAAAAAUUCUUAGGGCAAAGGGCGUUUCAUCCUCCAACUCCUACCACCUCUUCUGGAGACAAAAAUUAGGACAUGACCUUCAGGAAAUGAGUCAUUUAGUAGUUGAUAAUCGAAUAAAUAACAAAUUAAAUAUUCAAGUAAAACUAAUAAAGAGAAGGAGAAAAUAUUUUUUAUUAAUUAAUCUAGUUGAUCGAUAGCAAGUAAUGAUAAUGAAUAAUGAUUUGUGGUUAUCGACGUAAUGAAAUGAAAUUUCUAACAUUUCAAAAUUAGAUGACGUUGAAAUGACGAUUGUAUGGGGACCUUAUAUUUUUACGUGGAUUAUCACUAUCUGAUUCAAUUUUUGACUAAACAAACAUAUAUUAACUCAUAAUUGACUAUAAAUUUCUUUUGCGCUUAUCAUGUAUCUGGUCAAAAAAUAUUCAUUUGGUACAUUAAUUACCAAUAUAGUCAAAUAUAUAUAUAUAUAUAUAUAUAAACACACUUAUUUUUGCUUAUUUUAGUACAUUUAAAUAAUUAUUUCUCCAAAAUACAAGAUGUGUAUUCUCCAAGAAGAAGUUAUUACAAAAUUUUACACAUUGCAUAUCAAAGGUAACAAAAAAUGGUCUUCAACUGAUAGAGGGAAUCAUUGGUCAAAUAUUAUUUAAUUUUUAAAAAUAAAUCUAACCUAAUAAAUUUGUCAAUUACAAUAUUGAUUAGUCCGAGAUUUGGACUCAUUUAGGGCAUUGUUUUGAUAGUUUUAGUGUCCUUAAAUGCCUAAUUUAUGCUAUAAACUGAUGUUAAAGCCUUGAUUUCCAGGUAUGUGAGUUAAGGAGCAAAAUAAGGACACUAUCAGGCAAAAUGGAGCAUAACAAGCUGAAGAAGUGAAGAAAGACAAUCCUGGCGAUCACCUAGACCACUCGGCGAGUCGCCAAGUGGCUCUUCAGCCCGCCUAAAGCUCCAGUGUGCCAGCCCUGAGGGAAAAAACCAAGUCGGCGACAGGAAUAGGCAGUCGACAAAUCGCCGAUCAGUUUCACAAUGAUAAAAUGGAUCGCCCAAAGUUACAGGUCUUGGGGAUGUUGAGAACCAAUGCAUAAUGGUGAUGGAAGAGAUCAAAGGACGGAUCGCCAAACCACUCGGUGAGCCCAACUUAUCUCGCCUAAUGGUCUUUCAGGAGAAAUUUUGGGCAACUAUAAAUUGAAUUUUGAAUUGUAAAUUGAGCAUCUUACUACCAAUGAUGAGAGUUUUCUUUUGAAUUUUAGAGUUCCAUUGUUGACUUUGAAGCUUUUUGAGGCUCAAUUUUGAGGAAUGAUAUUUAUAUAUAUAUAUAUAUAUAUAUAAAUCUUUUACUAAACUAUCUCUAUUUAAUAAAUAUUUUUUGAGAAUUGAACACUAUUAAAAAGAUGAAGUGUAAGGAAUUGUUUGGUACACAAUAAGCACACAUAAAAUGAGAUAAAAUGAAUAUACCAAAAUUAAACUCGAGAUAUUCCAUUUUGUUCUGCAUAUCAAACGACUCCUAAGGGUAUAAAUGGAAAAAAUAUAUAACUUUUUAUCUUAAACUUUUAAGGUGAUAUGAAUUUUGAAACUUUUUUAAUGGUCGAAGUGACACUUAUUUUAACGCGGAGGGAGUAAAAAUAAAAUUUAUUGAAAAACUUCUUAAAUAAACAAAUAUACUCCUAUUUAUUGUAUCUCACCAAAAAAAAAAAAAAACAUCAUCAGAGAGAAAACUGGAAAAUAGAUGAAUUUUUUUGAAGGCUGAUGAUCUGAAGAACAUUUCAGUUAAAGUUUCAUUCUUUUUCUCCAUAAUGGAAGGUACUAAAAUUCUUCUCUCUCUGGUUAGUUGAAAUCCUUUAAUUUUUGUGUAUUAUUUGACUUUGGCUUUAAAUUUUUUGACUGAAAAUGGACUUCAUGUCGUUGAAGCAAUAAAUGUCAAUCUCUGAUUUUUAAUUUAUUUAUUUUUUUGGUGAUUUUUUGAAUGGUUAAUGGUUGGUGAUCUCUUGCAUUUUUAGUUUGUGGAUAUGGGUUUGGACUGAAUGUAGUUUUUUUUUGUGAGGAAGGAAUAAAGGUUACAUCUUGGAAUUGGGAUAUUUCUGAAUUUUUGUGAUGGUUAACGGUUGGUGAGUUGUGAUUUUAGUGGUAAUUUUUGUGAGUUUUCUGAGUUUGGGUUUCUGGGUUUUACUGAAUAGACUCCAUGUGGAGAGGGAGCUGAGUUUCAUAUGGAAAUGGCCUCUCUAUCUGUGCAAGGUAGGGGUAAGGCCUGCGUACACUCUAGGCUACCAGACUCCACUUGUAGGAUUCAUUGGGUAUGUUCUUGUUGUAGACUCCAUGUAAGGAAGGAACAAAAGCUAAUUUUUGAACCUCAUGGCAAGGUAUGAGACUUGAGUCCCACGUCGGUUUUAACGGGGUGCUGAUGUGGGGCUUAUAAGCCUUGGGAUCUCCCACCUUAAUAACUAGCCUUUGAACCUCAUAGCAAGGUAUGAGACUUGAGUCCCAUGUCGGUUUAAUGGGCCGUUGAUGUGGGGCUUAUAUAACCUUGGGUUUACCCACCUUAAUAGCUAGCUUUUGGGGGAGUGGUUCUCGCCCUUAAUGCUCAGUGUGCCUUGGACGGUGAUGCUGAUAUUGUAUUGUUGACUCGGAGCUAGAAAUGAUUGACGGAUGCAUAGCAUGGUGGUUUGUUAAGAUCCUAUUGCAAUGCAUGGGACUUGAGUUCCCUCAUCUGUUUAAUGGGGAGGUGAUGUGGGGCUUAUAUAGCCUUGUGCUCUCCCACCUCAAUAACUAGCUUUUGUUGGGUAAUAAUUGGUGCCUUUUGUAGCUUUGCUGUGGUAUGGUAUAGAAAUUAUGGUUUGAUCCACUUACUGAAAGAGAAUUAUGGCGUGACCGUUGACUGAAGCUGAGUUUUCGAUCUUAAUCUCAGAGUAUGUAGCUCUUGAAAAUUUUUUUGCUUCGGAAAAAGGAAAACUUUGUUGAAUUGUUCUUCUGGAAAAAGGAGCGUAGUGAUAACAGAGAUUUUUUAUAACAGACCCAAUUAAAUUUUUCUCCUCCCACUGUCCUGACCCUAGUCUUGGCUCCAUCCUACGUCCUCACUCGUCCUAGUGUACACCACAAGUACACCUAUAGUCUCCAAUCAUCUCCAUAGAACCUCCUUUGGGGCUUUGUUGUAAGCCUUCUCUAGGUCGAUCAACACCAUAUGCAAAUCCCUCUUCCUCUCCCUAUGCUACUCCACGAGUCUCACAAGGUGGAUGACUUCUGAUCUGUGAUAACCCCCACAUGAAUCCAAACUAGUUCCUCGAAAAUAGACACACCCCUCCUCACCCUCAUCUCCACCACUCUCACACUUUCAUAGUAUGGCUUAGCAGCUUGAUACUCAUAUUAUUUACUUGAUGCUGAAAUAAGUAAGUUUAGUUGAUGUAAUUGAAUUCAUUAGCCUUCUCAUUAUUUUGUUCUUUUCAUCUUUAAUAAGUAGCUCUAAAGUCGGUGUUUCCCAAAUGUCCUCGUCCCAUAUUGAUGUUUUUGCUUUAGACUUAUUCUUGGAUGAAUGAAUAGUUGAUAAUUGUUCAUAUUUUUGUCUGUUCAAUAACAUCUCUAGCAUUCAUAACCAUAAUAACCUUCUUCGUCUCUUAUUGAAGUUGAGCCUAUUAUUGUCCUGAAACAGGCAAGGAGUGUGUAUAGUAUAAAUUAUAUCGAAUGCAUCCACUUUUUAGGUAUUGUUAGAAGAUUCUUAUCAGUAAAAUCCUGUAAAUACGCUUAACCAUCAGCUUCUGAUUAUUUGCACUAAAUUGACAGGUGGAUCCCCAGAUCGAGAAUCCGUGGAAUCUGGGACAAAAAAGUCUAGUAUUUCUUCAGGUGGGAGAGUCCAAGAUCGCAAAGAAUUUCUCCGUAGGUUUGUAGAUAGCGAAAGCCUGAUUGAAAACCUUAAGACAUGGUAUGAAGAGGUACGAGAGGAACCUCCCUUUGAUGUUCCUUUUGAAUUGAUAGAUCUUCAAAAAUUUGAUUAUGCUUUGGAAGGAGUUCCAUUUCAGCAGCUGAUUCGAAUGCCUAGAGCGAUCUAUGACUCAGCUUCUGGUGCUGUGGAAGCAACUGCUUAUCUUGCCCUUGAAGAUUUUCUACAUGCAAGUGUGAAGAGUUUAUGGGAGUCAUUUUGGGGUCAGGAUGAACCUCUGCCUUUCUAUGUUUCUAGUAUCUACAAUUCAAACUUGAGAUUCUACCAGGCUGAGAAAGCCAUUGCUAAAGGGAGAGUUGGAGGUCUUUGUGCUACAGCUAUAAUGCUAAAGAACCCAAAGCAUCCACAAGGGAAGUGGGAUGAUGUUUUGCAACUUGCUAUUCUAAGGCCUGAUAUAGGAAACCGUGCUACAGUAGAGAAUGACUGUAAGCCUUCUCUCUCAGUUUUAGGUGAAGCUUUAUUCUUUACAGUACGUGUAUUGCUUGCAAGAAGCUUCAGCAGAUACAAUAUUCCUCUCAGUUUGAAUUCUGUAUUUGUUCUUUUAGUUGACUCUCAAUAUGGUGGAGUCAUGAAAGUUGAAGGAGAUAUAACCAAGUUGGAAAUGGAUGUGAAUGAUGUUUAUGGUUGUGCUGCUGAAUGGAUAAAAAAUAAUGCUUUAAUUACAAUCUCCCCCGUUGAUAGAAUCUGGACCAAAUUCGGAAAUGCUAAUUGGGGAGAUAUUGGUGCUUUACAGGUACUUUUUGCUACUUUCCACUCAAUCACUCAGUAUGCUGGAAUGUCAACGAACUCAGUUGAAGAUUUGGCUGCUGACCACAGUUCUCAUCUUCAAGCAAGAAGAAUUGAAAGGCAAUUGUGGGAUAGCAGGUCGAAUGGAAAUGGUUCAUUUCGCCUCGAGCAGCAUAGUGCUUCACAUGAAAUUGUAGAAGUGCAUGAAGAAUCUGUCAGGUUGGUAUCUGAAAAGUCUAUGAAUCUGGAGGUUGGUUCUGUCUUGCUGAUAGAAGACUCAAACUGGCAGAAGGGUUAUCAGAUCAACGAAGUCCUGACUGAUGGAGAGAUUACAUAUUAUAUUGCAUCUCCUGUUGAAGAUCCAGGUAAGGCUUUAUUUCUGUAUGUAGGUUCGCAUCCUUCUCAGCUGGAACCAGCAUGGGAAGAUAUGAAGCUAUGGUAUCAAGUUCAGAGGCAAACUAAGAUAUUAAAAAUUAUGAAGCAAAAUGGGUUAUCUAGCAAAUAUCUGCCGCAAUUGAGUGCAUCUGGCCGGAUAGUUCACCCUGGCCAGUGCAGAAGACGAAAUGGUGGUAAUUGUGAUUACCCAUGGUGUGGAACCCCCAUUCUAGUGACUACCUCAGUGGGUAUAACAGUUGCUGAUAUGGUGAGAGUUGGCCAAUUUGGUAAAGAUGAGGCUAUCAGGUGUUGCCAUGACUGCCUAUCUGCCCUUUCAGCAGCUGCCUCAGCUGGCAUUCGGCAUGGUGACCUCAGGCCUGAGAAUGUUAUUUUUGUUACACCUGGUGUGGGGCAACCUUAUUUUGUUCUUGUUGGUUGGGGACAUGCUCUUUUAGAAGAGAGGGAUCGUCCUGCAAUGAAUCUCCAUUUCUCCUCUACGUAUGCCCUUGAAGAAGGGAAAUUGUGUUCAGCUUCCGAUGCUGAGAGUCUAGUUUACAUGCUCUACUUUUCGUCUGGUGGGGAGAUGCCUGAUCUUGAUUCAGUUGAAGGAGCAUUGCAAUGGAGGGAAACCUCUUGGUCAAGAAGGCUAAUCCACCAAAAGCUUGGAGAUAUUUCUACAGUCUUGAAAGCAUUUGCAGAUUAUGUUGACAGCCUUUGUGGAACGCCCUAUCGUAUGGACUAUGAUAUCUGGCUUAGAAGGUUAGAGAGACAUAUUCAUGGAAAGGAAAUUGAAACAUCAAGUUAGAAAUUUGUUUUCGUUCAGCGCUGAAGCCGAGCAUUACCCUUAGGGCAACCUCUUAGAUUAUCUGAACAUACUGGAAGAUAGUUCUACCAGUAACCAAUUGAAUUAAUUUUUGGCCCUGAACUGUGUAAUUGUUUUGCCUAUGGAUAUGGACUUGGACAUUGUUCAAGAAAGCAUUCUAUAUCUGUAAAUGGAACAUAUCAUUCAUCACCUUAAUGAGACUCCAUGGUGCAGUUGAAAUAGUCAAUGAAUCUUUAUUCUUUGUUCAUUGGCAUUGUUAUUUCUUGCUUAUAGUGAUUUUCUUAUUGUUCAUCAUUCAUAUUAAUUGAAGUAUGAGCAAAAUUUACUAGAACAAUUUAAAGUAUUAAAAAAAGAAGAUAAAUAGUUCCUUUAAACUAGGGUAUGUUGUUCAUUUUAGCUAAUGUCUCAUAUGUAUUUUCUUUUUUUUGCCCACUUGUCAUCAUUGUGGUUAACAAUGUUUCGAUUAUUGCAUUAUUUUGUUGUUCUUGUUCCUUUCUUGUAGGCUAUACAUUGUUUAGUUGCCAUGAUUUUUGCAUUGUUUUCUUCUUCUUUGCACUUGAAUUUGUUGCAUUUGAGCCGAGAAUUUUUUGGAAACACACCCUCUACCCUCUACCCACAAGGUAGCGGUAAAAUCAGGUCUGCGUACACUCUACCUUCCCUAAAUCUUACUAGGUAAGUUGUUAAAUAUUCAACAAGAUGUAUUGGAAAUGUAUCAAUACACACAUUUCUUUGCCAUCAGUCUAAAACUUGGAUUGAGUUUACUUUCAUGGCAUGUACAAUCAACAUGCCAUUUUAGUGAAAUUCUUCACUCAAUCGAAGCAAAUAUAUAGCAAUCUGACAAGAGAUAAGGAUCCCCAGUUGAGGGGAAAAAGACAGCAGCCAUAUGUCAAAGAUACAAAUUGCUAAAUACCGAGAAUUCCCCAUAUAAGACUGCAACAUAUCCUCUUGAUCUAAGAAAGUUACGUGUACAGAUUACAGUCAACAGUGAAAACAAUAUAAGAUCUCUUUCAUCACUUAAAACAAUCGGCAUACAGGUGCCAAAUUCCAAACAUGACAGCCAGAGCAGACUAUUUGAUUCAGUUGAUAAAAGAAGUAAAUAGAGAGAGCGGAGUUGUAUUUGCGUCAUUAGUCUGCGUCCAUCUCUUCAAGUGCAGCUUUAGCUGCAGCCUUGGCUUCCUCUAACAGAUCUGCGGGAACCUAUGGCAACAUCAAAUAUAUCAGCAUGAGUUCCUAACCGGAUCUUUUAUUUCAGUUUAACAUCAAGUAACAUUCAUUCAUCAUUAUGAAUAUACAUGCACGCAGACAAAAUAAAGAUGGAAAAUUACAAAAAAAAUAACUAAGCUAAAAUAAAGAUAAUAUUUGCUCUAAUAUCUCCUCACUUGUGUGGCAGGUCCAACCAAAACUAAGAAAAUGCAGACAGAAUAAUAGCAUUUGACAUAGAAUACCAGUUUCUAUGGGAAGUGUACCCAAGAAGGAUCCUGAAUUACCUUCUGGUGCUGCCGGUUAGACUCAUCACACACCCAACUCAUUUCCAGUUCAAAUGCCUUGUCCUUUGCCUCAUCAUGAACUCCGUAAAUUCUGGUUAACAGAUAUAACUUAUUGUCAAAAAGCUGAACAAUAAAAUCAUGCAGCACCAACUACUAUAAAUUAUAUGGACAAAACUAUAAAUUUAUGAACCUACAGAUAAGCAUAGCGUUACCACUUCAUCAACCUAAAUUGGUGCUCCCAAAUGUUAAAGACAGAUUGAAUUUUCACUUGCAACUAAACAAUCUCAUUGUAACGCUAAGAUUGUGAUGGGCUGCCCAAAAAUAUUGAAAUAACCAAAGGUUGAGGAGAAUUGGAACAUGUUCUGUAAACUGAUUUGCAGGCAUUUCUCAAUGUCAAAAAACAACAUAUACACACAUGACACAACUAGUUCGUGUGUUUGCAUCAGUGUUAAAUGUCCACAACAAAUAUUACCAUGAAUCGAAUUGAAAGUUCAAUGAGAACAAUUACUUACAUUUUGGCUACCUCAAUAACCCCUUGCCGGCACGUCAUUUCAGAGAGCUUCAACUUCUCAAUUUCACUGCCAAGAUUUUGUUUCAAAAUCACAUUAGUGUGCAUAAUAAAAAUGUGGUGCCAGAGAUAGCCAAAAUAAGGCAAAACUUGAUUGAAUAACACUCAGUUUGAUCACUAUUCAUUUUAACCUUCCGUGUACAAAAUAGCUUAGUCUCCUUCAAGUGUACUAACUAUAGCAGUAAAGUAUUUAGCUGGUCCUUCUAACAUCACCAAGACAUAAUAUUACUAUCAGACCUGAAGUGACAAAUCAAUUUCACUGCCAAGAUUUUGUUUCAAAAUCACAUUAGUGUUUUGUUCUUUUCAAAGCCAUAUUAAUAUUGUUGAAAAGGGCAACAACAAAUAACAUGGAUUGCUUUUAUUAAAAAAGAAAAUUGAAGGCUUCAAAACUGUUUUUUUUUUUGAUAACUGAGAAAUUUGUCUGUGACCCGCCCUUUGGACCAAUCACAGCCUUCUAAACUCGGUGGAUAAUGGGCCCGCCCCUCUACCCUUCUCCACUUAAAUACCAGGCUUUGCUUUGCAUGGUGUGGGGCUUGAACCUGCGACCUAAGCCACAAAUCUUCCACCUUUUGCCACUUGAGCUAGGCCUUGGGGGCGCUUCAAAGCUGUUAUAAGUUUCAAAUCUAGAAAAACCAACUGCACAACCCCAAGGAUAACAUUCAUGGCACUAUGGAAAGGCUGACUAAAAUUUUAACUUGGAUUUUUUGUGCAAUCCUUUUGAUAGUUGUAAGUAAAUGCAAAUUCAAAUAUUCAGUUUCAUCAUAAAGCUAUGCCAAUUGUUUCAAAUCUGAAAUUUAGGAUGUCCAGCAGAGAUUUACACACUUACGUUUUAGCAGCCUGUCUGCCCUUCCCAAUAGCAGCACCGAAGUACCUCUACAACAAACAACAGAACACAUCAACCACUAAAAUAAGUUCAAUUAUUAAGGGUCAGUGCAAAGCAAGGAAACAGAGAUUAUAAGAAAAUAUAAUAGCACGCUGCAUGGUGCAAAAUGUAGCAGUUAAAUAAUGAUUCCACUCACAUAGGAGACACCAGAUGGCUCAACCAUGUAGAGUUGAGGUCCAUCUCUAUCAUAGCCUCCAAGGAUUACCCCAGAUCCGAAAGGCCUACAACAAGUAAUACUCCAGUUCAGGUACAGAAAGCAAGUUAAUGAAAGAAAAUGAGGGUAUCAAAACAGCAACAUAUGUUCCAACAAACCUGAGCCACCAGUAAAGUGUGCAUAAAUGUACAUAACUAGCAACACGUUCUGCAAGUUCUUUCACUGGAAUCGGUUCACCAUAUACACUACAAAUGACAAACCCAGUCAAUGGAAGAGUCAAAAUUAGGGUGGUGGUAUAGGAUGAUGUGCAACAACAAUUUUCAAAUGUUGAGCGGAGUAAACAGGAGUUCUUUCAUCAUGAAUACUAAACUAUAGGAGACAGAUAAUGUGCAAGAAGCAAACCUUUCAAAGCUGGUUGCUUCAGACUUUGCACGGGCAACAAUUUGCCUCCCAUCAGCAGCCAGCCCUGCAACAGCCUGUACGUAAAGAAAAAUCAGCAAAUAGAAUGCAUCAUCACCCAAGAAUCAUCCAACAGAGCAUUGGUUCAAAACUUUACCAGUUCCAUAGGUCCAUUUCAACUUCAAUUGAUAAUUUAUGAUGUUUCUACAAGUUUAUACCUCUAACAACUUACUAAACAGUAGCAUCACUCGACUCUUAUCAGUUAUCACUACAAACCAUCUUAACUUAAUUUUCACGAACAAACGCCAUUCAAAAUGAAAAAUGUGACGGACUAAACCUUUCCACAGUAUUAGUCUGAUGCUAUAGAACGUAGACACAGAAAUCUUUCAUCUUCUUAGCCAAACACUUGACAAAGUUAAACCAGAACCAUCAUCAAACAAAUCUAGUAGGAGAGUUGAACCGUUGAAGAAUAUCUAACUUAAGAGAACCUCAAUUUGUCUUCAAAGAUAAAUAAUUACUUAUUGGAAUGAAAAGAACCCAAAUUGAGCAAAAUGGAUGUAGAGGAUUCAUACAGCAGACCUAGUCCAAAAGUAAUAAAGCCUAACGGUUUAAUUCCUUUUGUUUCUUUCAAAUUAAGGCAGUGUCCAAGCAAGCCUACUCACACUUCAACUAACCCACAGAUAUCUAUUAUCAAACUAUAUUCACCAAGGCUUCUGCAAAAUGAGAAGAAUUGAGCUAAUGUCACCCUUAAGAGCUCACACAUAGUAUAGUAGCUGUUGUACUAGUAGUUGCAUUGUCAGCCAAAAAAAGUGCUCAUCUCCUCCUCAAAUGUGAAAAUUUUAAUAAAAUUUCCAAUCAAUUAAUGCAAAUAUCAUAUGGAACAGUAGCUAAUAAAUCAGUGACACUAGCAUCAGUAGUUUGAGCAUAAACUAUUACCAUGCCAGAAUGACGAUGAACAGAGUGAAUCCGACGAUUAGAUCCCGGUAACAUCAUUUUCGACGCAAUCAGCUUCUCAACUCCCUACAAUUUCAAAAUUCCCCAAAAUCAAUUAACAAAAAAAUUAAACCCUAAACACAAAAACCCUAACAUUAACAACACUAACAAACAAACAAAACAAGAAAAAUACCAAUACGAUUCCAUCCUUGCACUUGAUUCCAACAACAGUACCACUAUUAUCAACAGCUUUUCCGGCGUACUCGAUCUGAAAAACUCUGCCGUCCGGCGAGAAUGUCGUCACCGAUAGGUCAUAACCGGUUCCAAUGCUGCUCAUUUUCUACGUUUCGAUCCUCUUCGCUGUUUCCACUAUAGAUUUUCAAUUUUGAGUUCAAAGCUUUCUGAAGAAUGAAACGACGGAAUAUACAGAAGAAGAAGAAGAAAAUGGAGUUUUCUUUUUCGACAAGACAGAAAAGAGGGGAAUUAAUUUUAUUAAAAUUUCUUAUUGGGGAAUAGAAUUCAAAUAUUUUCACCUAUGGGGAACUGUGCAACUCGAAAAUUUAGUAAGGCAGUCACAUAAGGCAUAAAACGCAUUUGCUGAAUGCGAUUUAUGCAUUGCAUUAUAAUUUUAUUUUAUUUUUAUUCAUUUUUAACCUUUAUUUUUUAUUUUUUUUCCACCUGUUAUUCGAUGCCCACAUUAUAAUUUUUUUUUUUGCACUUGAUAUUCGGAGCCCGCAUUAUAAAAAUAUUUUUUUAUAUUAUUCAUUUUUAACCUUUAUUUUUUAUUUUUUUGCACUUGAUAUUCGGAGCCCGCAUUAUAAAAAUAUUUUUUUAUAUUAUUCAUUUUUAACCUUUAUUUUUUAUUUUUUUCCCACAUGAUAUUCGGAGCCCGCAUUAUAAAAAUAUUUUUUUUAUAUUAUUCAUUUUUAACUUUUAUUUUUAUUUUUCCCCACCUGGUAUUCGGAGGCUGCAUUAUAAAAAUAUUUUUUUUAUAUUAUUCACUUUUAACCUUUAUUUUUUUAUUUUUUUUCCCACCUGAUAUUCGGAGCCCGCAUUAUAAAAAUAAUUUUUUAUAUUAUUCAUUUUUAACCUUUAUUUUUAUUUUUAUUUUUUCCCCAACUGGUAUUCGGAGCCUGCAUUAUAAAAAUAUUUUUUUAUAUUAUUCAUUUUUAACCUUUAUUUUUUUUUUCCACAUGGUAUUCCGAGCCCGCAUUAUAAAAAUAUUUUUUUAUAUUAUUCAUUUUUAACCUUUAUUUUUUAUUCUUUUCCCACCUGGUAUUCGGAUCCCACCUUGGAGCUCCGACUAAAUUCGGAUCGCGCACUGUAUGGCUCAUUCGGGAGUGGCGCUCCCAACAUGAUUUUCUCCAUACCCAGGGCUCAAACCCGAGAUAUAUGGUUAAGGGUGAAGCACUCUCACCAGUGUACCACAACCCAUGUUAGUUUAACCUUUAUUUUCUUGUGAUUUCAUGUAAUUAUUCGUUGUUGUUUUUUUCUUAUUUAUUUUAUAUAAAUCUCCACCAUUUAUAUCUACAUGGUUUUUUUGCGAUAAUACCAAAUGAAUGAUGAAAUAUUCAUGGGAUAUGAACAUAAUGAGAUAGUUACUAGUGAUAUCGACCAUGUUCAACUAUAUUAAAGAGUAGUAUACUGUAAUUCAUGUUCAAUUUUAUCUUUUUAUUGAACUAAAGUUCGAUCAAUAAAUGUUGUAUAAUUUUAAGAAUAGUGUUGUGUGGUGUAUUAUACUUUUGUUAGCUUAUUUGGUAAGAUUGUAUAAAUAAUUGGGGCAGUUUUGAUAGUUUUCACAAUUUAUGAGGUUUUUGUAUUUUUAACAAAUAAUACAACUUAAAAACUCAAAUUGUAUAUCCAAACAAAACUUCAACUUCAACUUCAACUUCAACUUUAUCUCGUAUGAUUUCAUAUCACUAUUUCAUCUCACAUGACUAAACGAACGCGUAAACUACAAUGAAUAAUGUUAUUGUUAUCAGAGUAGAAUCUCAUUGUUCAAUGAAAUUAUAAAUUCAUAUGGUUCGAAAAAAUAGAUGAAAAGGAUAUUAACACUAAUCCACUAAGUGUGUUUUUGCAAUGUGAUUAGAUUGUUGAUGCACAAUGCUGGUCCAUUUGAUAGGGGCUAAAAGUCCAAUAAGUGUUGGUUAUCCCACUAAUCCUCUAGAAAUAUGGUUAAAUAAUUAUGGGUGAAGUGUAUGGAUAUCUAGAAGGCGAAUUUCUUGCUUGUGCUGAUAAGGAGUUUCGAAUUUGAGACCUCCAACAUGGAAGUUUCAAGCCCGAAUUUAUGAGUCAUUCCGAAGGGUAGCAUCUGUCUAUUUUUAAAAAUAGUUUUUGAGUAUAUUCACUUCGAGAUAAUUUUAGAUAUAUGAAUCUGAAAUUAAUCUUCACAAAGUACUAUAACUAAAGUUCAAUUAUUUCUUCUUAAACUUUAACUAUAUGACUAUAGUUCAAUCAUUUUUGUCUGAACUUCAAUCACAUUAAACUUUAAAUUUGGAUUUUGUCAAACAUAACUUCAAACACAAUAAAUAUGAAGUGGAAUAUAUGCGCUCUCCUCUCUCUUUUAUAAAAAUAUUAAUAAAAAUUAUAAUUAGACAAAUUAUAUUAUAGCUAUUUAUGAAAAUUUCUUUUAUAUUUUUUUACUUACACAAUCGUGACUCAAAAUAUUAAUAAGGUAAUAUAAAAUUUCUCGAUCUUCCAAAAAGAGGCGGUGGAGAGGGGAAGCCAAGACAUAGUUGAUGAGAGUGACUAAUGGAUCCUCUCUAGAAUAAAACAAAUUAUAUAAAGCUACAACAAAUGAAAGUUGCGUUGAUUUCUUGUCAAAUAAUAAUAAACCAAACACAAGAAAUGACAAAAAAUAAAAUAUAAGAUAAGCACCUCUAUUUUGUCUUAGAGUAAACGUAAACACACAUUAUCUAAAAAUGAUUACAUUAAGGAUAAGAUGUUCCUUUCCAAAAAAAAUUCAAAAAAAAUGUAUAAGAUGUGAUAUAUAUAAAUCAUACUUGACCAAAACUUUAAAUAUAUACAACUUUAAUUUUGAGUCCAUCAGAAUUUACUUUAUAUUUUUUAAAGAAUUUAAUCUCCUUGUAAUUUCUAAAAUAUUGAACUAUAUUUUAAAAAUUGAUGCUCAAAUUCGAAACAAGAUAAAUAUGACGCCUUUACAAAAAUUCAUGAAUGAAAAAAUUAAUCAAUCAUUCUUGAAAUAAUCGACAAUGAUGGUAUCACAUAGAUUGUAAUCUUCUCAACAUUUUAAAGUUAAUAUAAAAAUAUGUUUCUAUAAACUAAAUAAAUUCUUGUCUUUACUCUUAUAUUGCUACACUUUGUUUAGAAAAUAUUAUAGAAAUUCUCUACCAAUCAAUCAAAUAGCUUAUAUUAUGAUAUUAAACACAAAUUUGCACAUCCAUUUUGAUAAAUUAGUUUGAACAAUUCCAACCUUAUUUUCAAUAAAUUGUCAUACGUAAGAUCAAUUUUUCUUCACUAGUUUAGUAUUAAUUAGUAAUAAUUCUUAAGGGAUAAGGUAGGCAUGAGUUAUGAGUUAUGACAAUUGACUAGUUAAUAUUUUUUCUUCUAACAAAGAAAAAUAAUAUUCCUAAGCAUGGCUUUAAUUAUAAAAGAAUCAUAAAUCUUUUAGUCUAGAUAAAAAUAUUAAGUGAUUUUUUUUUAUUUGUCUUAAUUUUGAUGGAUAGGGUUAUUUGAUAUUUGUUAUUGAUGGGAGAUGAUAUGUAUUUUAUAAAGUUAAUCGAAAUGUGUGUAAGCUGAUCAUAAUAUUAAAAAAAAAUAUUAUUUGUUUUCUCAUAAUUUUAUUUAUGUAUCUCAUGUAACAUAUUGAUGGUGUUCCUAGAAUGUACGUAAAUACUUCCAAUGCUCCAAUAUUUUAUUUUAAAUGGAUAAAGAAUAGUAGUUGAGAAGAAAGUGGAUAAAAUUUCUAUGUUAGGUAUUUGGUGGACAUGAUUUAUGAAUGAAGUGGACUUAGCAAUUAAAGUGUACGUUUUAUGUUUAUAAUGCUGUCAUAAACUCUUUAUAUUCUAAUUCAUUUAUAUAAAAGAAAUUAUUUAUAUUCUAUAAUAAAAGGAAAAUGGCAAGAGAAGUCAUAUUGAUGUUAUCACCUUUGUAAUUUAGAUAAUAUAUGAGUGGUUUAAAGUUUCUAAUAACUUUCAAAAAAAAUUAUAAGUUCACUUGGUGUAAAAUUAGCAAAUAGAUAAUUUGGUAGGAUAAAAUCUAUUUAUUAUUUACAAUAAGUAUUGAGUUCAGUCUUAUAAAUUAUUAUUUGUUUGAUAAAAAGUGCUUGUUUUUUAUGCAAAUUGGAGUGUUUACGGAUCGAUUUGAAAUCUUCUUGAGAAAAAAUGCUUAUUUGUUUUCAUAGAUAAAUUGAAAGGAAAUUUCUAACAAAGAAAUCUUUUCUAUAAAAAUAAUAAUCUUGGAUCAGGGCUAUCGACAUGACAAUGCUUUAUUGGUUUAUUUAGUGGAUCAUCGUUCUAAAUAUAAGAUUAUAUUCAGCAAUAACUUUGAGAAAAAUAGUAUUUAAUACAUAUUAUUUUUUAUAUAUAAUGACUGGUAUCAUGCUAUAUUAUGUCUGAAUGAGUUCAAAUUAAAAACAGAAGAAGAGAGUUAACUUUCUGUUAAGUACGUCUAAACACGAAGGGAUACACAAAAAUCAAGUCGAAGUUAUAUUUCAACUUCUAUGAGCAACAUUCUAAGACUGAUUUAUCCAUAGAUUUUGUUUUAAAAACUUAAAAUAAUAUUCAAAAUUUAUUUUAUAAAAAUAUUUGCUUAUUAAAUAAUCUAUUAUUUCAACUUCAAAUUUCAAAAAAAUUAAGUUUUAGAAAAUUUGACAACAAAAAAAAACUCAUAAACUAUUCAUCUAACAAUAAAAGUACAUGUGAGUCACUUUUGUAACGUAAGGAAUAACAUGUGAACCAUUUUUAUAAUAUCAGGAGAUACGUGAUAUCAACGUUAAAUACUAAAGGUAAGAGGUUAUAACAAACUUUUUUCCCUUUUUGAAUUUUUGACAAUUUCAAUAAAUACGAAUUUGAAUUAGUCAGAUCAGCGUAAAUAUUGUAGUAAUUAGGGAUAAGAGGAUUGGCCCCCUUACUCUGCCACUCCAAGAAAACAAAAUGUAUACGUGACAAAUCUUUUGCUUUACUUUUUCACCUUCUCUUCUUCAAGCAACUCUUUUUCUUCCUCUUCAACAAUCCCCACCAUCUUGGUCUAUAUAUAUAUACAGUUAUAUACACACAAAUAUACAAAAAUAUCUAAGUCAUUACCCAUAACAAGACGUGCAGCAGUGAAAAGAGUGAGCUCACUGUGUAACAAACUCAAUUUGUGAGUUUGUUCUUCUCUGCAAUCUUUUAAUACGUCAGAAUCACGGAUACCCAGAAGGAUAUUUUGUGCGGUGGAUCAUUUUCAGGUAAUAAAAAAGUGAUCUUGAUUGAAGUUUUCAGAAAUUUUAGUUUUGAUUAUUGUAGAGUGUUGAUUUUUGUUCAGUUUUAUGAGUUUUUGAUUGUGGGUAUUUUGUGAUUGGGGCAGAAAUCUUGUUUAUCAGUCGAAAGAUGAAUACUUUUGAACUUUAUAGCUGGGGUUGUCCUUGUAAUUCAGAUUAAAUAAGAUAAAUGAAAUAAAUUGUUUUCCCUUGUUUGGGUUGAAUGGUAAAUGAACAACAACAUAUUGAGUGUAGUCUCAAGAGGGUGACAUGUAUGGAGACCUUACCUAGGGGUGGAGCUGCGUAUGGCAGCCCUUUAGCGGAAAAUUACAGUGUUUAUACAUGGUUAAUAGUAUUUGUUAUGUGUAAAUAGUGGAUGUUGACCCUCAUUCAUCUUAUUCGUGUGUUUAGUUCUUAAUAUUUUGAACCCCUUAUUGUGAAAAUCUGGGCUCCGCCAUUGACCUUACCCCCACCUUUACUGGUAGAGAGACAGUUUCGAUAGACCCUUGAUUCCAAUAAUGUCUAUGUUCAGGUUCAAAAUAUGGAGAAGUAAACACAUAAAGAAGUCAAAGAAUUUAAUAUUUACCAUAGUCCAUAUAUACAUAAAACUAAUUUCAACCUUGAAUAUACUGUGUAAUUUUCAAACGAAGGGGUUUUGGAUGAACCCCUUGCUCCCACUUGGCUCUGCUCUUGUCCAUGCUGUAUAAUAUAUACAUUACUUAAUCCUAUUUUAUUUAUUUAAUAUUAUGAGAUUAAAACUAAUUAUACACUAGUGUUUUAAAAAUUAGAAAUAGGAUUAUAAUCAAGUUUAAUAAUUUAAAACAAAGAACAAUUUAGAAGAUAGUUUAAGCUAAGUUAUAUUAAAUGAGGUGAAUGAAUAGAUCAAAUUUUACGUUCCUCUUCUAAACAUGAUUUUUUUUUUGUUUUAAAUGCCUAAUAUUACAAAUUUUACUAGAAACAAAGGAGAGAUAACAAGUAAUGGAUGGUUAAUUAACAAGUAUUAGUAUAAAGGUUAUUCAAUUGUCAAUGUUUUCUUUUGUAGGUAUUACUGAGACACUAUGUAUAUUGUUAAUCCAUAUUGAACUCAGGAAUAAAAGUAUAAAAUAGAACAGGAAUUACAGCAUAAAAAAUGCAAAUUCUACUGAUAUGGAAAGAAACAAUGCUGCCAAGCUCCUGACUAUUAAUGCACAGUUCUUGACCCUUUCUAUCGUAACAUGCAUUUCCAUCUGUGUCGCAAUUGAUUCAAUAGGCUAUGUACCCAGUGCACUGAGAACUGCCUUCGGUCCCCAAACUUACUAACUCAUGGCAACCUUGUGGCAGCCCAACAACUUAUAAGUGCUAGUGACUGGCUGAUUUCCAGUAUUAUAAGCAAAUGACUUAUAUGUGACCUCAAGAAGGAAAGAUUAUAAUCAAAUGACUUAUAUGUGGCCUCGAGAAGAAAAACCUCAUUUUUCUAUUGACUUUCUGCCUUUCCAAACAAAGCCUAAACUUUGAAAUACCUUCAUGUUUUUUUUUUUUUUCUCUAGUUUCCAAACACGGUUAAUUGUACUGCUUUGUGGGGAGGGGAAAUUGUAAUUGUCCUUAGUGGAUAGUGGUUGCAUUCUCAUGGCCAAUCCCAAGUUGCAUUUUUUACUUGUUGGUUCUGUGUUUGUUUGCAAGUGGCUUUGUUUUUGCAAAAGUGCAAAUCAAGUGGUCAUGCUAUGUUAUGCUUUCACUUUAUGCAUAUGGCUUGUUUCCUCUCGAUACAAUGUGUUUGAGAGGCCUUCAUGUAGUAGUUAAAAAGUUAGUUGGUAAAAACAUCUCUGAUAUUUUCAUAUCAUGGAUCUACUGUUUUUCAAAUUUUGCGUUGGCUAUUAAUCUCAACUAUUUUUGCUUGACACUAGAAUAUAGUAGUAUGAUCACUUUGCUAUUCGGUCAUAAUUAAAGUUAAGGGAGGUAAGAUAAAAAAAAUAUAAAAUAUGAAAAGGAGCAGAAGUGUUAAACUAGUAACCUGACCAGAUUGCCUGCCAUUUUUAAAUUCAACAAUUUGGUAUAUCAUAAUUUUCCUGUACUUUGAGCCAUUGUGUCUUUCAUCUCCUUGUGAAUUCAGCUUAACGAAUUUAAUUUAUAUCCUGGAUUUGGCCAUUUUAUCAUUCUUCAGGUUUCAUCUUCUAUUAAUUUAAUCUGUCAAAGAUUGUCCAGUGAUUGGAUGCUUUUGGAACUAAUUUAUGAGUCAAAUAGACAUAAUAUCUGCACUACAAGUUAAAAAAGUUGUAUUCCUUGAUUCUAUCACUAUCGUGCUAGUAUAAGCAGAAAAAUCUGUCAAGCUUAUCUUAUUGUUAUUAGUUCAGACAAUCAUCUUUUCGGUUCUGUCCCAUGCUGACAUUAGGUUGUUGUAAAAGGAAGCAACUUUACAGCUUUAUACUUCCAUUAAUGAUCAAAAUUUAACUGAAUUUGCUCCUCUUUCAGAGCUUAAAUAGGCUACAGGCCUACAGCAACAACGAAUAGACCAAGAAGGAAGAUGGAGUCAAGGCAUUCCAUUCAUCACGUACUGCUUUUAGUUUUGUGUGGUCUGUCUGCCCUGUGCCAAUGCUCGGCUAUUGGGGUUGAAGCAAACCAGACAGCAGUACUGCUUGUGAAUGCAUCCGAAGCAUCAGCAAGGAAAAUACCUGAUACCCUUUUUGGUAUAUUCUUUGAGGUGAGUUUAGUAUUUGGGUGCUCAAUUUGUGGUGCAAAUGAGAAGCAUUUACCUUCCAGUUUACAGUAUGUAACUCAUCUCAUAUAUUUUGUGUUUAAUUUGUUUGUCCUGUCUUUUUUGUUCAAACUCUUUAUAUACCUGAUAACUAUUGCAGCAUAUGAUACGCAUAAACUUCUGCUUUUCGAAACUACCUCUAGGAUAUGUUUUUACUAGUUCAUUCCACCAAGCUGAAAUUCACAUUCUCAUUCCUCAUAAAAGUUUCCUGUUUGAACUAAAGGAGGAAUAAGGAUAAUAAAAUAAAGGACAUUCUAUAGUUUACAUCUGUCAAUAAUAUGAGACCAGACAAUGGACAUUUGAUAAGUGCUGCUGAUGCCUAAUCUUAUGAAUCAUCAACGUUUUCCGAAUAUCUGGCUGGAAAAGAGUGAUCAUACCUUGACCUUUUACAGAUGAAUUGGACUUAAUUUUCCAUGAUAUUGGAUACAGGCAAUUAAUUUUAGUUCAUGACCUGAAAUAUUGUAUUUCAGGAGAUCAAUCAUGCUGGUGCUGGUGGACUGUGGGCUGAGCUCGUCAACAAUAGAGGUCAGUUUGAUUUUAUGGUUUCUUUAGAAAAGGAAGUCUUUAAAAAGAAAUAAAAACAUGCAUUGCUUCCUAGUGAUUGACUGCUAAUUGAGUUUUUUGGCCUAAAAAAAGAAAGGAAAAGAAAUGGAAGAGCAAGACUCAUAUAUUGGAAAGGAUGAACUAGUUACAUUUGGGUUGCCCAAGCAGAAAAAUGGAGACAACCAUAGCAUGAUUUUGUGCCGUCUUGUCUCUUGGAUAGUCAUUAUUACUUUUCCCUUUCAAACUUAUCUUCAAAGAUGAAUAUUAACUUGGGCGUUUUAUAUUCUGUAUGCUACUAUGGUCCAAGAGGUUGUUUUUUGACUGAUAAGAGUACUAUGAUGAAUAAAUUGAUAAGGCAAAUAAUGCGAGAUUGCUAUCUCUAUUCUUGUAACAAGAGUUUUGCUUCCUAUAUAUUCUUGAAUUCUAUUUUUUUUAAGUGCUAGUUUUCUUGAAACCUCAGGUUUUGAAGCUGGAGGCCCAAACGUACCUUCAAAUAUUGAUCCUUGGUCUAUAAUUGGAGACGAGUCCAAAGUGAUUGUAUCAACAGACCGUUCAUCAUGCUUUGAUCGGAAUAAAAUUGCAGUUCAAGUGCAGGUGCUCUGUGACCAUACAGGUGCCAAUAUCUGUCCAGAUGGAGGAGUUGGCAUCUACAACCCGGGAUUCUGGGGCAUGGUAUGUUGCUCUUUAAUGCUCGACUGAACAUUCUUUAUGUGUUUCUUGCUUCCUCUCUCAAGGAUUCACCUUUCAAUAUUCCGCAAUACCAAAAGCACACUAGAUUUUCUUCAUUUGUAUCCUUAAGUCUUAUUUAGAUUUCAAUCAAACUAGAUACUGAUCUACUCUUCCUUCUUUGUGUAUUUCGGUGCAUGUUCUGUAUUUAUCAUCCUCAUUUUAUGUUUUCUUGCAGAAUAUUGAGCAGGGAAAGAGCUACAAACUAGUGCUUUAUGUUCGUUCCCAAGAAUCAAUCAAUGUAUCUGUAGCUUUAACUGGUUCAAAUGGAUCGCAAAAGCUGGCUGCUGCCAACAUAGUGUAAGUAGAUGUCUAGCCGGCUUUAUUUUUCAUGCUUUAAAAAGUUUGCUUCUUUCACACAAUUCAUUCAAGAUGCUCUUUGCAGAGCUGCUGAUGUUUCGAGUUGGACAAAGGUGGAAAUUUUGUUAGAAGCAACAGGAACAGAUCCCAAUUCAAGACUGGAAUUGAGAUCAUCGAAGAAAGGUGUUAUUUGGUUUGAUCAAGUCUCAUUAAUGCCUACUGACACAUACAAGGUGAGUGGUUUAGAGCUUUCUUGUAGGCAUUUAGAAAAGACUCAUAGUUAAUCAAGGAGAGGGUGGUUUUAGUGCAGUUGGCUGACUUAAUGACAUGUUUCCUGAGCCAAGGCUUCUAAAGGGCUCAUGAAUUCUCUUCUUGUUUAUUACAUACAAAAUGUGUAGCCAGUUUCAGCUCUACAUCUUUAGAAUUAGAUACCAAAAUAUAAUUACAUCUGUGCAGUAUGGUUAAAUGCAUCUGUUGUGAUAUCGCUAGGUUUUGUAUCAAACAAUAGACUAUACCAUAAUCCCAAAUAAACUGCUAUAUGAAUCCUCUAAAUCAAUUUUUCGAGGACGUUAUUAAUUUUAACAUUUGGGAAACAUAAGUACUUGUUGACCAUAUAAGCAUGAUUAACUAAUAAUAUGUAAAAUUUGUCAAUGUAGAUAAAGUUUAAAAAUUAUUGCGACUGUUUUUUUCUUCUCAUUACUUGUCUGUACAUAUCCAACAAUUCUGUAUUACUCUAGCUAUCCUAUUUUGGCCAAGGAGCAUGAUUUUAUUUCCAAUUAUUUUCUUUCUCAUUUUUCAUUUUUGUAGGGGCAUUAGAUGUAUUCAUUUAAUGAAUGUUAUUCUUGGCACAGGGGCAUGGCUUCAGGAAAGAUCUCUUUGGAAUGCUUAAGGAUUUGAAACCAGCAUUCAUUAGAUUUCCAGGUAUUCUCCAAUAUAUUUUAACUUUUUCCUUGAGGAUCAUGUAACUUUACCAACUGAUGGACUGGGACAUCUUUUAGUAUUUUAUACCUGCUAUAUUAUAAACCUUUUCAUGCGAUCCCUCUUGAUGAGGAAGAAGAGUAUCAGUAGAGAGCGAAAAUUCAUGAGUAAAUUGGAAACAAAAAGUACAACAAAAAGAAUGGUUUGCACAAAGAAGCUUAAGAAAGCCACAGGUGGCCAGCUACUACUUAAAGAUAGAAAGAAGCUGAAAUACAACUGUGUUAUGUAUUACUGGAAAUUAUGCUCGCAGGAGUUCAACUCCCAUAUUAUCUCAGUGGUGAUAGUUCUUAGAUCAGACUUGAAAUACUUUAUCUAAACACUUAGAUCUAAGAACUUCACCCUUGAGGAAAUACGAGAGACGAGGUUAUCAAAGAGAUAAUAUGGGAGAUGAACAUCUAGAUGUAGGAUUAAUAUCAGAAACUGUUCAAACUUCAAAGUUUAUUUCAUUUUUUAAUUUUCAAUUCAGUGAGAAAGUAAUAAAGUUAUCUUUUCAUCAGAGUUCUACUUGUAAUUUCUCAGCAUAGUAACAUGUUUCAUACACAGGGGCAGGGGUAGGAUCAAGGAACUUAACUUGAAAUUCAAACUUUCUGAUUUAUCUAUUCUUUUCAUGUUUGCUUUGAUUCUUUGAAAAAGUCAAAUCUCCUCUUUCUUAUCUGUUUACUUUCUAUUUGAGCACUUUUAGAAUUUCAAACAACUAGUUUAUACAGUGUUGGCUAGGCAAAGAGAAUAAAUAUUAGAAAUAUAGUAAAAAGUCUUCAUCAAUUAGAGGACUUAUUCUUCCAAGAUUCUGCUGUGUGUCCUCUUUUACCGGUUUCUUUCAUUUUUUCCUGUGUGUCCCCCUAUCGGUCGGUAUGUACUAUUUGAGCUUCUCAAUGGUCAAUUGUCCAAUGUUGAUAAACCUUCACAUUAUCUGUCUGUAGGUGGAUGUUUUGUUGAAGGUGACUGGUUAAGAAAUGCAUUUCGGUGGAAAGAAACUAUUGGACAAUGGGAAGAGAGGCCCGGACAUUUCGGUGAUGUUUGGAAUUACUGGACUGAUGAUGGACUUGGACAUUUUGAGUUCCUGCAGGUAAUAUUCUAUGUUCCCCAACUUUGUUGCAAAUGUAUUUGAAACACCUGGCUAGUCAGUCAUGCUAACACAUACAAGCACCAAAAAAAACAACAACAGUUGCACGCACUUGAUGUAAACAAUUGUAUACUUCUGAUUUUGAACGAAUCCACUCCAUUUUCUGCAGCUUGCCGAGGACUUAGAUUCAUUGCCAGUGUGGGUUUUCAACAAUGGUAGUUCCUGCACCUCCACAAUUGCACUAUUCUCUUUCUUUUGCUCUAUUUAGUCCAUUUAAUUAAUUUAAACUUCUUCCUUUUGUGCUUCUUAAUUUUCAGGAGUCAGUCACCAUGAUCAAGUUGACACUACCAGUAUUUUACCUUUUGUGCAAGUAGGUUUAUUGAAUUUUUGGCUCAUUGAAUAUGAUCUAGUGCUUUAAUGUGAUAAAUGUUCUUUAAAUUUUAUGUAGUUUCAUGAAUGUUUCUCUUUUUUGUCAGCUGCGAGUUGUCUUUUUCUUCACAGAAUCUUAGGCAAUAAAAAUUCACAUCACUAAAAGCUUCAUUUUUAAUGGCCAUUAUUCCUAACUGAAACUUUUCUCGGCUUGUGCAUUAGUAGAUUAUGUUAACAUUCAUUGUGUUACCGAUUCAAGUUACCAAAGUAAUCAACGUUUCGAAAGCAGUAAAUUGGUCAAGAAAAUAAAAUUAGCAGUGGAUAUUUCCCAACACUCUAUUGAUUCCCUCUCUGUAGCAACAAUUUGUCUUCAUUCGUUCCUUGUUACAUUACAUUCUUACAAAUAUAUUUUGUCUCUAUCCAGGAAAUAUUAGAUGGUCUUGAGUUUGCAAGAGGUGAUCCUACUUCAACAUGGGGUUCUAUUCGAGCCAAAAUGGGACAUCCAGAGCCUUUUGAUUUGAGAUAUGUGGCUAUCGGAAAUGAGGAUUGUGGAAAGACAAAAUACCGUGGUAUGCUUGCUUUACUCUAUUUGGCAGAUGAUAUAUUGUUGUUUGGUUCACAGGAAACUUAUUAUAGUGCACUAAGGAUUUAUAUGUUGCAUAACUGUCUGGUGUACAUUUUGAUUUAUUGUGUCCUCAUAAAGUUGCACAUCUCAUCACCUUUACCAUAAUUUGACCCGGGAAUUAAACCUGGCAUCCAUUACGUAUGACAUGAAGUGUCUCUCUUCCCCGUUCCUCUGGAUGAGUGUGGGGUGCAUAAGGAAGCAGUAGAUUUGGUGUCUUUAUGCCAAUAUGAAUUUAAAGUUUGAUGAUGCAGAUUAAAGAUCUUCAUUGUUUCUACUGUACCUCUGGCCCUUCAUGCCCCGUUCUGUCUGUCUGUCUGUCUUGUACUUCAGUAAUCAGUGGUUUUGCGAAAACUUUUGUCAGAUAUCUUUAGGUGUCAGGAAAAAAAUCAAAAUAUCUCUUGAAAGUUUGUGCUAUUGAUAGCUGAGGCUAGUCCAUAGAGACUCCAAUGACAUUAUUUUCUUUUAUUUGUCCAGAUACA
rnacentral:lncRNA from 1 species